UUUAAAACACUGGUUACAUGUAACUAUAGUGUAUAGAAAAAUUUGAUGAUAAGAUUGCUGUAUAAGAACUUGUGGUAGUCUCUUUAAGUUUCUUCUAGAGAAAGCAAUGCAAUUACGCCUCUAAUUGUGUUCAAGUGUUAAAAGAGAGAGUCUUUUAGGUGAUGAUUGUUUCUAGUUUUUGUUUUAGUUUUUGGUUUUUGUUUUCUCAAAAACCAUUUUUUCUCCAAUCAAGUUUUAGCUUUUAGUUUUUGUUUUUGUAAAAACCAUUUGAUUUGCCAAUCAAGUUUUUUAACAAAUAGAUUCCCUAAAAUUUAGGAAAACUAGUUUUUUUAAAGUUUUAAACAAUUUAUGAAUAAAAACCAAAAACCAACUUUUGUGAGUUUUUAAAGGAAAAAAUGAAUUUUUUUUGUACAUAAAAUAUCAUUUAAAUAAUAAUAUAAAUGAUUAUUUGUAUUUUAUAUCUGUAAAAUAAUUUAGAUAUUUAUAUAUAGUAUAACUAAUUGUAAAGAAUUAGUUAUCUAUUUCUAUAAAUAAAAUUAUUGAAUAAUUAGAACAAUUAUUAGACACAUUUAAAAUAACUAAAAUUAUAAAAAAUAGAAAAUGUUUUAUUAAUUAAAAAUAUCAUAGUAAUUUAAAAUACAAAUAGCAAUUCAAGAUUAAAAAAAUAAAAGUAAUUUAUAAAGAAAAUUUAUACAUAGUUUCAAAAUUUUAAUAUAUUAAUUUGCAUAAUUAAUAGAUAUUUUUAUUUUUUUUCUAAUAUAAUACUUAAAAUAAAAUAAUUUUAAAACAUUUUAAUGUAUUUUUAUUUUUAAUUAACAAUCACUGUUUUUGAUAUAUUUUAUUUGUAAUUUCUAUAUAUGUUAUUGCUAUUUUUUGUUUAAAGAAUGUCCACUCAUCUUAUAAAAAACUAAAAAUACUGCAAAACCAAAAACCAAAACCAAAAGCUAGAAACCAAAAACUGAAAACCAAAAUAAAAACUUAAAAAUCAAAAACCAAAAUCUAAAAACUAAAACCAAAAUCUAAAAACCAAAAACUAAAACUAAAAACUAGUUCAAACAAUCAACACCUUAAUGUUGAUUUGUGUAGCUUAUUUGACAGUUUUUACUAAAUCUUCUGCUUGUUAAAAUUUCAGUGUGGAGAUAUACAAACACAACAAGGAAGAAAGGAUUGCUAGAACUUGGGGAACCACUUCUCCAGGACUGCCUUAUGUUGAAGAACACAUCACUCCAUCUGGAAACUGGCUGAUCGGUGGAGAUUUAGAAAUUUUCCAGCCUAUUAAGUACAACGAUGGGCUUGAUCACUACAGGCUAUCUCCUAAACAACUUAGGAAAGAGUUUGACAAUCGUCAAGCGGAUGCUGUGUUUGCAUUCCAGCUAAGGAACCCUGUGCACAACGGCCACGCUUUGUUAAUGAACGAUACACGUAAAAGGCUUUUGGAGAUGGGUUAUAAGAACCCUAUUCUGCUGCUUCAUCCUUUGGGAGGUUUCACUAAGGCUGAUGAUGUUCCUCUUGAUGUUAGAAUGGAACAACAUAGCAAGGUGAAACUCUCAACCUUAUAAAACAAUUUGUUUUUAGAUUAUUACAGGCUUUAAUUCAGUUUGGUCUUUAAUGUAUUAAGGUUCUUGAAGAUGGAGUGCUUGACCCGGAGACUACUAUUGUCUCGAUAUUUCCAUCACCGAUGCACUAUGCUGGUCCAACAGAAGUUCAGUGGCACGCCAAGGCUAGGAUUAAUGCAGGUGCUAAUUUCUACAUUGUGGGACGUGAUCCAGCGGGAAUGGGACAUCCUACUGAGAAGAGAGAUCUGUAUGAUCCUGAUCAUGGGAAGAAAGUCUUGAGCAUGGCUCCUGGACUUGAGAAACUAAAUAUUCUUCCAUUUAGGGUAAUGCUUAGUCAUUUCUGUCUUCAUGCAGCAACUGAAGUUUGUUGAUUAUCAUAAUAUGGUGCUUUUGUAUCCUUCAGGUUGCAGCUUACGAUACAGUUGAGAAGAAGAUGGCGUUUUUCGAUCCCUCUCGCACAAAAGAGUUUCUUUUCAUUUCUGGAACUAAGGUAAUAAUAACUAGGGACAGUUUUGAGUUGUAAGAAAAGGAUCCAGUUUACAAGCUGAGUUUUUCACCGGUUUUGGUUAACAGAUGAGAACGUAUGCAAGAACAGGAGAGAGUCCACCAGAUGGGUUUAUGUGUCCGAGUGGAUGGAAUGUUCUUGUCAAAUACUAUGAGAGCUUGCAAGAAAGUGAUGAAUCAUCUAAACAACAACAAGCCGUUGUUUGAGUUGUCCGUGGUGGCUGCCGGCUUGUGUUUCACCAGUUCAGCCCUUCAUUUUAAGCUUACCUAUUUUUGUCUUGUGAAAAGUCACCAAUGUUUUCCAAAACCAAAUAAUAAUCUUGAAUAAUGUGUUCUUGCUGAUGAAUUUGAAUGUGACUGGCCUCAUGGAGUAUUUUUAUGGCCAGCAGCACAAAAAGGAAAUUAGAAAAAAGACUCCGUUGCCGGGACUCGAACCCAGGUCUCUCGGGUGAGAGCCGAGUAUCCUGACCAGCUAGACUACAACGGAUUUCUGAACAUUCAGUGCGAUGAUGGUUAACUGACAUUGGAAAAACAUAACAAGCAUACAACAUUCCAACCUCAUUAAUCGAUACACGAAAAGUUUAAAUCCAAAUAACAUCGAACGGAUUGAAAAGCUCAAAUUUUGUUUGAAGUCGAAUUAGACAUAACAAUAUCAAGAACACUAACCAAAAUCACUGAAUCAUCUUAUGGAUGUAUUCAAUAAAGUGAGCAAAUGAAAUAAACAUUUAGAACCAAAUGCAAAUGAUUUUUGCUUGUUAUUCAUGAGAAAAUCAAAAAACUCGCAAUGCCAUGAGUAUCGGAAGUGAAAACAUAUCUAAAAACAUUACAAGGAUUUAGCACAUAAGAACAGAGACGUUCUGGUUUCACUCGGCUCUAGACUGACCAGCACGAGAAGAGAGGAUGAUACCAACAAUAAGACCGUACAGCGCAAGUGCUUCAGCAAAGAUGAGAAUCAGAAUCAUUCCCACAAACAGCUUUGGUUGUUGUGCAUUCGCUCUACAACACACAAAUCACAAAGUCAAACACUUCUCUCCAAGUGGCAACACAUCGUAACAUAUGUUAUUCAGUUACCUUACACCGGCGUCGCCGACGAUUCCGAUAGCCAUACCGGCGGAGAGACCGGCGAGACCACAAGCUAAACCGGAAGAGAGAUGAGCAUAGCCAUCGAAGAGAUAGUAAGACUUGGCCUUUGGGUUGAUUCCAGUACUGAUGAUGACAGCUAUGAUCAGACCGUAAAUACCUAACACACCAGCCAUAACCACCGGAACUAUCGAUUUCAUUACAAGCUCUGGUCUCAUCACACCCAUCGACGCCACACCAACCCCGCUCUUAGCUGUCCCGUACGCUGCUCCCAUACCUGGAAACAAUUGGAUCGGAUCGGAUGAGAUCAAAACUGAAUCAUUGAUUCAAAACAAGGAAUUGGAGAAUUUGAAGUUACAGGAGAAAACGAGAGCGGCGGCGGCGCCGAGGAAUCCGAAGAAGGGAGCAGUUUCAUCGCCGCUGAAACCUGAAGCCAUCGCUCUUCGCGAAUUUGUGCGUCUCCGGUGAGAUCUGAUCGCAAAGAGACAAAGCUGUUUGAAGAUUUGGGAGAGACAAGGAAACCAAACUUAUGUCAACAAUGGUUUGAUCGAUUCAGUAAUUGCUGGCGGUUAGUCGGCAUGUGAAAUUAAACCGGACUUAACUUACCUAACCCACCAAAACUGAAUCGUCCCCGAAUUAUUAUUCGGUUAUAUAGAGUUUUGUUUGCCAUUGAUUGAUUUGAUUCCGUCGAGAGCAACACAACUAACAAGUAACAGCAUCCCUUAUAUAUUAAAAGGCAUGCAUUGGCGCUUUAAUAUAGCCCCUCAAAAUUUUGUUUCCUAUUUUAAUUAAUUAAAAGCUACAACAAAUGUUUUAUAUUGUUGAUACUCUCAUGUUUCACGUAAAUUUUUGAGCUUUGAUAACAUUAGCUUUGUAGCCGAUGACAACUGUCCUUCUCUUAGAUAAAAUAGCUUCGUAGAGAUUUUUUAGAGUAGAUGAAAAUGAAAAUAUGGUGAGGCCGUGUUCGUUUGCUCACCCAGGUGAUCCAUCUGGGUGAAGAUGCAAAUUGAUGUUGAUUUUGUGCAUUAUAAUGCUACAUCCAGAUGGAUCACCUAGCUGAACUUUUAAAAACUCAUCUCAAAUUCUCUUCCAAAUGAAGGUAAGUUUUGAUAAGUUUGUACGGUGAGAGAAAGAGAGUAAGAGAGAGAAAGUAGAUCUCAGUUGGUUUCGGUGUUCGGCCGGCGCGUGAGCGUGCGUGCCGACGCCGGAGCCCGUCGUCCUUCAGCUUAAUUGGUCCGGAGUUGUCUCCUCUUCGUCUCCUCCAGUGUCCGCCUUGUCUUAGCUCUGGCCAACCACCUUCCGUGGUGGUUCUGAUCUUGGAGUGAAGACGCGGUGGCUUGGAGGGUUGGCGCGGUGAAGACGAUAGUUGUUUGUGUUCUGAUUCUGGGAGGUGGAGGCUUCCACAGCUUCGCCGCCGCCGGCUCUUGUCUCCGCGAGGUGGAAGCUUCUUCAGUUUCGCCGUCGUCGGUUCUAGUCUCCGGGUGGUGAAGGCUAUCAUAGCUUUGCGUCGUCGGCUUUAGGUAUAUCGUUGCGGUUUUUAGGUUUUUGGGAUUCGAUUUUGGAUCUGGUUGGUUGUUCUUGCGUGUCCUUUGUGUGGGAGGUUGGGUCUUGUCGGAGGAGCUCUCGAAGAGCGAUGAUGCUCUCCGACGAGUAGAUGAAGAGAAGAACAGAGAUGGUUUCGACGGAGGCGCUCCAGAUUCUGAGCUCCGACGAAAGGAAGUGGCGGUGAUGUGGUUCCGGUGGCGAUUUGAGGCGGAGACGUUCAAGUCAAGGCGGUUGCGACGCGUGUCGUCCUGAGGGUGUAGAUGCUCACACAUGUUCAGAUGCCAGCCUCCUUGUUGCAUGGUUCGGUCGACGUCGUUUGGGAUAUAAAUGGUUGGGCCGACGGCCCGUUAAUGGGUUCGGCUGUAUUGUUUCGGGCCUGUUGCCUUUUGAUUGUAUCUGGGCCUCGGGCUAUGUACUCUGGGCUUGGCCCGUUUCUUUAAAUAAAAAAUUAUCUAGACGGAAAAAAAAAAGAAGGUAAGUUUUGAUGGUGCAUCUGGAUGCAGAUGCAUCUAGUUCAGUCCAAAACGAUAAAUGACAAAAAUCAUCUUUUAAAAUCAAAAUAUUAUUUUCAAACCGUCAAUUCUAUUUUUUUGCAUAUACAUUUUUCCGUUAUAACCAAAAAAUGCAUUUUCUCGCAAAAACUGAAAAACAUACUUUUCCGUCAAAACCGCAAGAUGCGUUUUUCCGCUAAAAAACAUAAAACACACAUUUUCAUAAAAACACAUUUUUCAGCUAAACUAGUAAAACCACACUUUUCGACCAAAACCGAAAAAGCACAAUUUCCCGCCAAAACCCAAAAAACGCAUAUUCCUGCCUAAACUCCAAAAAGCAUUUUCCAGCCAAAACCGCAAAAAGCAUUUUCCCGUCAAAACCGGAAAAAAUGCAUUUUCUCGCCAAAACCGAAAAACACAAUUUUCCCGCCAAAACCGAAAAACAGAAUUUUCCCGCCAAAACCGGAAAACAUAAUUUUACCGCCAAAACCGGAAAAUGAAAUUUUCCCAUUAAAACCGGAAAAACGUAUUUUCUCGCUAAAAUCGGAAAACGUAUUUUCCCGCUAAAACCGGAAAAAUGCAUUUUCCCGCUAAAACCGGAAAAACGCAUUUUCUCGCCAAAACCGGAAAAUGUAUUUUCCCGCCAAAACCGGAAAAAUGUAUUUUCCCGCUAAAACCGGAAAAAAUGUAUUUUUCCGCCAAAACCAGAAAAGCGCAUUUUUCCGCCAAGACCGGAAAACUGUAUUUUCCCACCAAAACCGGAAAAACUGUAUUUUUCCACCAAAACCGGAAAAAUGUAUUUUCCCGCCAAAACCAGAAAAUCGCAUUUUCCCGCCAAAACCGAAAAACUGUAUUUUCCCGCCAAAACCGGAAAAUGUAUUUUCCCGCCAAAACUGGAAAAAUGUAUUUUCCCGCCGAAACGUAAAAAAAUUAUAUUUUAGUCAUUUUAUUAACAAUUCCACCUGGAUGCAGAUGAAAGUUAAAAAAUGAAAAGCAAACGAACAUAGUUGCAUUCAGAUGAUUCAUCUGGAUAAGACAUCUAGAUGGAGCAUCUGGGUAAGACAUCUAGAUGGAGCAUCUGGAUGCAUCUUUCAGAUGUACAAAUGAACAGGGCCUGACUGUGCAAGGAUCUAAGUGAACUCGAUGCUCAACUCUGUCAACACUUAUAAUAAAACAAAAUUUAAAAAUUAAAAUAACACUUAAUAUGAAACUGAGGAAGUAUCAAUGUUGUAUGCAUUAUUAUAAAAUAAAAGGGUUGAUGUAAAUACCAAAAAAAUAAUUUAUGCAUACUGGAAUUAACUGUAUUAAAAAUAAAAUAAAAAUGUUUACUAAUAAAAAUUGUUAUGAAAAUCAUAGACUUAAUCAUGAACUAUUGUUGAGAUUGCGAAAAUCCCGUGUCCAACUCUAUCUUAUCUUAUUAGUACGAUAUUUUCCACUUUGGGCCUUAAACAAGCCCGCAUGGUUUUACUUUUGGUUUCCUUCCCAAAAGGCCUCGUACUAUUAGAGUUAGACAUCUCUUUAUAUAUUAGACUUUCCUUUGUCUAAUAUCCGAUGUGAGACUUAACUUGUUAUCUCACAUUCUCCCCCUCAAGCUAAGGAUCACAUCCAUCUCGUGUGUUUUCUUCGGCGAAUCAUCUUUGGCACCACCUUGUACCAGUAAUCGCAAGGCUUUCUUUUAGAAUGUUUUUCCCACAACACAUCACAAAUUCCAUGAUCUUCUGACUAAUAUCUGCCAAACCUCCUUUUUCCAUAAAGGAUCAUGUUCUUACUUAAGGUUAUUUUGGUCUUCUUGCAGAUCUUCGUCAACCGCUCUGAUACCAAUUGUUGGGAUUGCGAAAAUUCCGUGUCCAACUCUAUCUUAUCUUAUUAGUACGAUAUUGUCCACUUUGGACCUUAAACAAGCCUGCAUGGUUUUACUUUUGGUUUCCUUCCCAAAAGGUCUCGUACUACUAGAGUUGAACAUCUCUUUAUAUAUUACAUUUUCCUUUGUCUAAUAUCCGAUGUAGGACUUAACUUGUUAUCUCACAAUUUUGAUUUUACAUCUCUAGAACGGAUACAGAGCAUGGCCAUUAGUGUCAAUCUCACUAAAUUAUUUCACAAUUACAAACAUUAGUAAUUUAUCAUAAUUCUAUUUUUAGGUAAAUUUUAAAUCAGAUAAAAAUGAUGAACUAAUCAAGAAUUGACUGACACAUGUUAGAAAGUAUCUAAAUUUUGUUUGUUGGAUAUCUAUGCACCGAACUCCACUCUUCUUCUUUCCACACUUUUUUCAUUCUCUCCAUCUUUUCAUUUAUUUCUUUCCACACUUUUUUCAUUCUCUCCCCAUCUUUUCAUUUAUUUCAUUUAUAUUUAAUGUCUAGAUACUUCCGUAGAUACCUAUGUUACAUGGAAACGAAAGCCGAUACGUGGAAGCGGAAGCGUAUGAAAGCGUAAAAGCGAGAUUUUUAAAAGAAUUAGAAAACAUGUACGUGUUGGAAGCGUAUAUCUAUAUGUAUAUAUAUUAAAAUAUAAGAUUUUUAAAAAAAUAGGACUAAGAAUUAUGUAAUAUAAAUUUAAAAUAAAGUAUUUAUUCAUUUAUAAUAAUUUUAAAAUGAUUUCAUAUUAAAACUGUGAAGAUACACAUAAAUUAGGUUUAAAAGAAAUUAUUAUAUUACUUAUUUUUAAUACUUCAUAAAUUAUUGACACAAUAUACAAAUAUAUGAUAUAUGUUUAAUAAAAACCUCAAUACAUAAAGAUAAUUUAUAGUAUUAAUUUUAAUAUUUACAUAUUUAUAUUCUCUCUAUUCAUUACUAUUAAAAUUUGAAUUUUAUAUAAAUUAAAAACUACGAUUAUAUUUUUUAGUGAUAUAUGAUAUUGUAUUUUUUUUAAGAACGGAAGCGUGAUUCCAAAACAGAAUCAUAAGCUUCCAACGUGUUUUUAAAGAUAAUAUUUUGGAAAACGUUUUGGAAUCGAGAUUCCGUAAGCUUCCACAAGGUUCCGAUUCCGAUUCCGGUUCCGAAGCGGAAAGCGGACGUCCGACGAAGCUUCCAUGCAAUGUAGGUAAUAACUAUCUUAUAUUUUUGAAAUGGUCAAUCAAAACAAAAAUAUUUUUCAAAUCACCAAUAUUCUAAAAUUGUGUAUUAUAAAAAAAAAAUAGAUUUUAAAAGGUUGUAUUAACCCUUUUUAUUAUAAAGCAUCUGAAAAUUUAAAAUCAAUGUGAGAUAUAUUUAAUAGAUGAAUUAAACUGUUUUGACUAUUAUAUAAUUAUACAUAUAAACUGUGACUUAAAUUAUAUAAAUAUAAAAACCAAAUUAAUUCCAUAUUUGAGUAUUUGUUGUUUCAUUAAUAUAAUUAAUUUAAAUCAAUGGAAAACUUGAUUAUCAUAAAUGACAUAAUUUUUACUUCAUAUAAGUUAAUAGAUUAACUGAAACAACAUUUCAGUUAUUAUUUGUUGUUUUAUAUUUGUAUUGGCUGCCUGUUUAUAGUUGUGCUGUGCCAGUUAACAUUUCUUGGGUGAUUAAUUGCGUUUAUGUAGUGUCUUGUGGAUUGUGGUGUUGGUUGUUUGUAUAAACUUCAAAGCAUGUCUUUAGCUAUGUGGAAUGGGACGGCUUGCUAUUCAACAUUUCCUCACAACUCUUUGAGAUUGCUAUGUAUUAUGUUCUCCAAACUCCACCAGAUCUUUUCUCCACCAUUGCUAGAGAAAGAUAAGAAUCUUUUCACUCAAGGUUUUUCCAAAGUGUAUUAUUUUUAAUGGUGGAUGCUAUUAAUUGUUGGUAACUGAUAAAAAGGUAGUGGCUAAGUUUAACCUUCAAAUUAGUUUCGCCACUCAUGCAAGGUAGGAGUUUUUAUUUAAAUAUAUGUUUAAAAACUUAGUUUAUUUGGAUGGUACGAAAACAAAAGAAAAUCAAAUACCCUGAACACGCGAGGAAAUCAGUAGUACUACAAUUUCAUUAUUAUGCUAAAUUUUAUAAAAACAUGGUCUGCACCGUAGGUGUGAGAGUCGACUUUUGUACACUCCUUUGUUAGCCAAUAUGCAGUGUGAAGCCCACGAUUGGUGUUAAGUUGCACAUAAGUGACAAAUUCAGAGAGAAAAAAACAACAAUCACAACUAUGAUGUUCCAAGCGUGAAUCAGGAGAUUUGUCAAUCUUAAGGUAAACUAAAAAAUGAGAAGCUGUAGAACUUUAGUAUUAAAACUGCCAGGAGAGAAGCUUAGAACUAUAGUAUAAACAGCUAAGAAGAACUACAAUAUUCAGUCAGACAUUUAUAUAUAGUUGCCAAGCGUGAAUCGUAAGCUGUCUAAAGCCUUAGGUUAACUUAUAUUAAGCAAAUAUGUAGACUAUAGUAGAGAAGAUAAACCCAAGAAAAUAGCAUAUAUAGCAUAGCAGAUUGUAACUUCUCACCUCCAACUAACUUAGGGUUGAUAUUUCUAGCAACGUACACCUUUGGUUCUACACCAGAGGCAAACAAAUUUUCAUGCAGGAGCAUGGCAAGGCCGUCGAAUAAACUCAGAAAUUUACUUGCGUCCCUGCAUAGACAAAGAGUAACACUAUUAUCCAUGUGGAACCAAGAAGUGAACAACUAUGCUUAACGGGUCAUGAAAAUUAAAGCUGGAAAGUUGUCGUAGACCUUUCAAUCAUUAUGGUUGCCGUGAUGCGUUGAGUACUAUGUUUCUCUUCUUUGAAAAUGAUUUUAAUAUACAUAACUUUUCCUACGAUAAAUGCGAGCAGAUAAACUAUGUAGGCUACUUGACAGGGUACUGUAUAAUCAAUAUAUGGACUAUGGAGUUUUUCAUUCUUGUAAGGGAAGUUAACUAAAACAAACCUGGCAGAUCUGUUUUCGUAUUGGCUAUUAACAUGAGUUGAUCAUAGUUGCGGGACCUAAAGCUCUCAGUUGGGAUCGGUGCAAUUUUUUCCGCAAGUUCAAGAAAAAUGAUUUGUUCCAUGACUCAGUACAUUGUUUUCCAAAAAUACUGAUCUUCUUCUGCGAUUCUGUUUCAGUUAUAAUCAUUUUUUUUGGUAAUACCUGCAGUAUUCAACAAUUGGACAGAUUCCUAAGAUAUUACUUGGCUUAUAUAACUGACCAUGAGAGAAGAAAGAGUUGAUGAUGAUGUUUAGUUAAACCACCUUUGCUUUUGAUGGAGAAGGCUCCUCCAACGUGUUUGCUUUUGAUUUCUACUACGACAUGCAAAGAGAGAAAAUUCAAUGUCAAAUAUAUAAUGUGAUAAGUGAUAAUCAUAGAACUUUGUUUGUUUGCUUUAAUAUUUUGAUCCUGGAUGUUUACUCAGUCAAAACAAAAAGAAGCCAGAAACAUAUUCUUACUACCAAACACCAAACUGAUGAUCAAAUCAAUCUGCAUUGAAUCUUGUAGUUUCUGAAAUCUGACAACAGUUUUAGUUUUAUCAAGCAUUUCGACAAAAAAAAAACAGGUUAUCGGUUUACCUGUUGCUUCUGCAGCCGUUAGAGUCAACAAAUCGCCAGAUCCACGAACAUGAAAAACACUUAACUCAUGAAUCAAGCCUUCUUUCAAGAUGUGUUUGAAAGUGUUAAGACGGUUAACAUUGAUAGAUACAUGGGUGUGCAUCGCCUGCAAGGAGAAGAAGAUUCAUAAACAACUUCUUCGAAAUCUAUAAACCUGAAAGUAAUAGUUGAGAAAAGGAAGAGGCGGACCUUCUCAUCAGUUAGAAGCAUGUCAAUAUCAAUAAGUUCACCUUGUCUCAACCAUCUGUCGGCAUCGGUCAGGACUCAGACUUCAACUUAGAAAAAUGUAUUCAAGAAGUCGCCAUGGUCGGAAGGUUUCUGUGAGAUAGAACUCGAGCUUUGGAUUCAGGAAAAGGAAAAGGCUUUAGCGGAGUCUCUCAGACGGUGUGUAUGUAUAAUGAAUGAGCUGCUUAAGGUGAUAACUAAAGCUCCAUUGAAGAAGACUUGGCGGAAUUAGUGGGUUAAUUUCAUUUCUUGACAUUACUACAAAGUGAAACGUAAGCAGCUACGGUGAAUGGGAAUCAGCAGCGCGUCGGUUAGACAUCUCCGACAAAAGUCGAGCAAUUUUUCAUACCAGCGAUAAUGGACAAACCCUAAGAACAUGUGGGCUCGUAAAGAAAUUAAUAAAAGCCCACCAGAGUUCAGUUGCCCACAUAAAAAACCAACGCGAGAAAGUUGGAAAAUUUGUUGCCACGUGGCUAAAAUUGCCCUAUGCUCUGAUGCUGAGGUGGCUGCAGGAGGUGAGAGAAAACCCUGCUUUAUUAAUAAAGAUAUUUAUUUGUAUAUCUGAUUUAUGUAACAAUGAAAAUCAUGUUCCCUAUAUAUCUUUAUAUGGUCGUCGACUAUUAAUGAUAUAUGUAUUUUUAGCAAAUAUGUUAAUUUUGAAUCAGAAUGCCUAUAUGUGAGACUAGAGGGAAAAAGAGAGUUGAGAAACAAAGUUAUUUAUUAAAAUAAAAAUAUUUUAAACACUGCAUUUACAACAGGUUGACAAACAUCUAUUUAUACAUUAAUUUAAACAUGAUUUUCGAUCCAUAGACUCUAAAUAUUUUAGUUGUUAAAAUUACACAUACAAACCAUCCCAAUACUCCAUGUUCUGCAAGUAACUAUUAUCCGAUAUGUAAAACGGGAUGUUGUAAUUAACAUCCGGCGGAAACUCGAAAUGAAUUGGUGCACCAUUGGCUUCAACAGAACGAGGUGAACUCGGACUGUUUGUUAAUGUUUCUUGAGCAAGUCGCUCGGAAAGUUUUCGAAUUUCGUUUUGAGCUUCACUCAAUUGUUCCGACAGUUUUAAUACCUGAAAAAUCAAAACAUAUAUUUAAUACCAAUGACAGCCAUUGAGUUCAGAGAAGAGUGGGCAACAUACUCUAAAACAUUAGUAUUUUUUUAUCGGCAGGAGACAUUGUAUUUUCACCAUUAAUUUCAUUUUGUUUUCUUCCUGGCCUCACAAAUAAAGUAUUAUCUUCAUUAUCCAUCCUAUACUAAAUUAUGGUAAUGAAUAUGCAUCAAAUCACACGAGAAUAUUUCCAGCAUGUCAGUCUAAAUGCAGAAAAGGGUUUAUACGUGGCAUUAACUCAGUGGGAAUUCCAAAUGGGCUAUCAUGAGCCCAACUUAGAUUGUACGGCGGAGUUGUUUUCUUAAACGUUGGAUAAGAAAAAAGAUGACGAACUAUCCACUCAUGUCCUCUGUGGGCCCCUAGCAUCUUAAGCCCUAAGCCUACCGGAUUCAAAUAUUCUUACCUGGUUAUAAUAAAUUUUGAUUUGAUUAAAACUUGCAUAUGCCUAUAUUUAACAAUAUUAAUUAACCAAUAACUACAUAUGAUAUUCAUAUAGUUAUUAACACUAUAUAUUUUCAUACGUAAUUUCAAGAAUAUCUGAAAAUGGCAAAAAUCAAUCAUCCUUUAAAAAAAUAAAAUAAUCAUAACAUAAAUUUCGGCAAAAAAAAACAUUGAGUUUAUGUGAUUUGUAAUGUUAAAGAUUUUUUAAAAAUUAUACCUGAGAUUCGAGCUGACAUUGGCCGAGGACGACGGUGUCGUGUUGGCUCUUCAGUUUGGCGUAUUCUUCCUCGAGUUUCUUGUUCUUCCACCGUGCACGGCGGUUCUGGAACCAAACAGCCACCUGUCUCGGGUCGAGACCUAACUCUGCGGCGAUCUUCUCUUUCCUCCCUGACUCAAGCUUGUGCUCGUUCUCGAAGCUGAAUUCGAGCAUAUUCACUUGCUCAUCGGUCAACUUCCUCUUCCUCAACAUCACUCCGAUCGCCGUCAUGUCAUCUUCGCUCGUGGCAGACGACCCUUUGCUCCUCCUCCUCCUCCGCCGCUUCACCGGCUUUGAUCCUUCGCCUGAUGAUGAUCCAUCGAUCUGGUUAACGAUGAUGCAGUGGCCAUGGGCCUUUAUUUACACUUAUGCCCUCUUUUGUUUAUUUUUGUUAGAACAGUAGAUUGGUUGUGUGAGUAUGAUGUAGUACACAUUCAAAUAUAGAUAUUUAUGUGUUCUACGAGAUGUACAUUUGAGGAUAAUACAUUUAUACAUUUUCAGUUAUAGAGAUAUUCUUAGUUCGAUAGAGUUUAUUGUAGUUUCUCUAUUAAUUUUUUAUUUACUUAUAUGUCUGUCAAAGCAUUUUUCAGAAGUGUCUGUCUUCAAAUAUUUAAUUAUCAUUUCAAUUUUUUAUUGCGUCAUGAAAAUUAAAUUAAAGGUUCAUGUUAGAGGGAAAAUAAAACGAUUGCUGCAUUUCAUCAUCAUAAUUUGCAAUUUAAUGAAAGUAAUAAAACACUUGAAUGAUGUGGACGACUAUUGUGGACAAGAGACGUGGUGUGGAUCCCGAAGGCGACCAAACUCAGGAUUAAGCAAGUGAUCCAAUUGUAUGUGGAUAAUUACUGGAUAUUAUCGUUUUGUUUAAUUUAUUUUGUUUUGUCUCCAAACGUAUAGACUUGUAUAUACAAUCUGUCUUGUCUUUGGUUGUUUUAGUUUAUACUGUUAAUUAGUCAAUUUUAUAGGGUUUUUAAAUUUGUUUUCGGAGCUCGAGACCACUCAUUUCCUUUAAUUGAAAAGCAAUGUGCUCCUCUUUUUUCCGUUUUCCCUACUGAUUAUUAUUUUACACUAGGUUAAGAUCCGCGCCUUGCACGGAAUAAACAUUAUAUAUAAAAAUAAUUUUAUUUACUAUAUGUUAUUAUAUAUUCUGAAAUAAUAAAUAUAUAUUGAAUAAUUAAAAGUUAUUAACUACUACAUAUAUAACUAAACUAUGGAUCACAAAAUUUGAAUGUGAGAUUUUUAACAGUUUUAUUAGUUUAUAGUCAUUUUAAAAAAAUCUAAAUAUAACAUAUACAAAAAAAAUCUAAAAUUUUAUUAUAUGGUUAUUGUGGUUGUUUAAUUUAUUUUAAUAGUUUAAAAUUAAACAAAUACGAUAGAAGAUACACUAAUUUUUAUCAAAUCUUUAUUAUUCAAAAUCAUUAAUUGUCAUAUAUACUUUAGCCGCAUUAAGCAAUUCUGUAAUUUUUAUUUAAGGAAAUUAUAAAGAAAAUUAAUAAUAAAUUUAUGGUUAGUUUAAUAAAAAUCUUAUUAUAUAAUUAGAUGGACCAACAUAUUUCUCUAAUGGUUCUAAAAAUCAUUCCAGUGAUGACACGUGGCUACAAAAAGAUGUUGUAAUGCUUCUCAAAUAAUAUAUAGGGGAUUAUUGAUGCAUUUAAUAGCAAAACACAAUAACACACAAAACAAUUCCAAUUUAUUACAACUAAGAGAGAAGAAUUCUCAAGAAAACUUAGUCAAAUUCACAAAAGAUAAAACAUUACAUAAGUUCAAAGGUAGAACACUUUCAUUAGAUACAUAAGUAAAAAUUAUAUCUUAUGAUCUAAGAAGACACAUUAAACCAUGUUACUUGAUAGUCUUGAAGUUACAUAACAGUUUUGAAAAUUAAAUAAACAUAUCUUAAAGUUACUUAACAAAUCUACAAAAAAUAUUGUAGAAAACUUCCACGGAAGUCUUCUCAAUUAGCUAGAAACUUUACUAAGCAUAAAUGUUUGUAACCUCAUAAAUAUCACCAAUUAUGUUAUAAAUUUAAUUCAGUAGCCCCAAUAUUGACUAAUAUACAUGAAUUAACAAAAAAAAUUAAAAAGUCUUUAUAGUUUUAGAGAAAAUGAAAGCUUAUUAAACAUUAACGCAAACGAUUUCUACGGAGGUCGUCUAGUAGACUUCUAGGAAGUCGUUCAUUUAGGUUAGUUUUGCAAUUGAUUUUUAACCUAGACGCCUUACAUGGAAGUUGUCCAUCUUUGUUUGUUAAAAAAAUUCAAGACGACUUCCAUGUAAGUCGUCUAGGGAAAACAUGUUAGUUUUGCAUUUGAUCGGAUUGUGUCAGAAAUUUGACUAUUUCUGGACGACUUACAUAUAAGUCGUCCAGUAGAAAAUUAAAAAAUCAAUAUUUUGUUAUACCUAGAUGACUUCCAUGUAAGUCGUCUCAGGUUAGUUUUGCAAUUGAAAAAUAAAACAAAAAUAAAUAUUUUUUAAGACGACUUACACGGUCCGACGACUUACGUGGAAGUCGUCCAAGAUAAGCAAGGUUUAACCAGAAUCUCGGAAUAAAAUCAUGGCUCUGAUAGCGACUUCCGUAUAAGUCAUCUGAUGGACGACUUCCGUGUAAGUUUUCUGAUGGACGACUUCCGUUUAAGUCGUCUAGACAAAAAUGAUUUUUUUUUUGUUUUAUUUAUCAAUUGCAAAACUAACCUGAGACAACUUACAUGGAAGUCAUCUAGGUAUAACAAAAUAUUGAUCUUUAAUUUUCUACUGGACGACUUAAAUGGAAAAGUCAAAUUUCUGACACAAUCCGGUCAAAUGCAAAACUAACUCGUUUACCUUAGAGGACUUACAUGGAAGUCGUCUCAAAAUUUUUUUUGAACAAACAAAGAUGGAUGACUUCCAUGUAAGUCAUUUAGAAAAAUAAAUUUAAUUUUAACUGCAAAACUAACCUCUGCAUUGACCGGAAGACUUCCAUGUAAGUCAUCUACAACCAGACGACUUACCUGGAAGUCGUCUGGACGAACAUAUAUGAAAAAAACUAAUUUUAUAGUUUCAACCAGUGAGAUAAAUUUUUUAACACACAAAAGUCUUCUCCAAGCACCCAAAAUCUCAAACAAAAAUGAUCCACCAAGAAUCGUAAGGUUCAAUGGCUCUAUGAACCAUAAAAUUUUUAGAAUCAAAAACAAAAUUUGUUUUGAUGAAUAUGGAGAGAAAGUGAAUGAGAUGUUGUUUUUAGUUUAUAAGAAUUGAGAAAGAAGGAGUGUAAGUCAUCCUUGCCUCUCUCGACCGUAUGAUGCGUGGCCGUCUCCUCUCUUACCCGGCAAGUUCUUCUUUCUCCUCUUCUCUACUUCUUUUUAUCUUUUUUGUAUAAGACUUCCUUAAGGCUUUUUUUACCUUGAGUUGUUGUUGGUUGUUUUUGUUUCCUUGCUGUAAUAAGUUGUUUAAAAAUAACAGUGUAAUCUUUCAGAAAAUGAUAAUCUUAACAUCUUAUCAAAAAAAAAAACAAUAAAUAUUGACUUAUUUAUGUGAAUAUAUAUUUUUUUAUUUUAAAUCAUUAUAGUGGACGAAGAAAGCACCAUAAUUUGUACAACAAAUUUUCUUAAAUUCACCUCAUCAUACUCACCAUUUUACCAUUUUAAUUACAUAAUUUUACAUGAGCAUUUUCACCCUCCCCGGUUAUUUUCUCUAUAUUUAUAACUACAAUAUAAAGUUAUAAACUAUAUAUAUUGUAAAUUAAUAAUUUAUUUACCCUUGAAAUCUAACGAUUAAAAAUAGAACAUAAUUCAAUAUAGAUAUAUGAUUCUAUUAAUAAAUUAGCAGUUACAAAUUUGAAAUUUUUAAAAAUAUCAAAAAUCGUAUGUUAGUUAAUUAUUUUCUAAAUGACGUUUAUUUCUAAUUAUUUUUGGAUGAGAAUACUUUGGCUGAGGUGGAUAGUUCCAAAAGUCUUGAAUUUAGUCCCUUUUAUAUAGUAGGAUUAGUCUAGUGACUACAAGUCUAUAACCACGAAUCUUCCAGAAUUUUAUUCAUUUAUUAGAAAAUCCGACAAUUUUCUUAAUGAAUAGUGUUAUAAUACUCCAUCGUGCGAUUAACUCAACCUGACCUCCUUUGCGUUGUACAACAUAAAGAACUCUUUUUAUCAAGUUAAUUUUUUUCUGCCUUGAACGAUAAUGCUGAAAAGGAAAAAGAACCAUAGAAUCAUGUCACCUCAAAAGAUAGAAACCCACUAAUAAGAUUCACUUAAACAAAACGACUUAUGCAUAUAUGAUCCAUCGACGUUGAGGGGGUGAAACCUAUGGUCAUACAUUGUAAGUUAAUCUCAAAGUAUGUUGAAAGAAAAGAGACAUAUAAAGGGGAAGUACGCAAAACUAAGCUAAUACAAAUUCACCGAGGGCUUUGCGAAUUGUAGCUUUCAACUUGUUCACCAAAAAAGAAGAAGAAAUUGUAGCUUUUAACACGCCUUUGGCCUGUUUUUAGGAUUACCCAAAUCCGUUUUUUUAGCAACACCCAAAUCCGUUAUAAAGUAAAUAUGCUAUGAAUAUAUAAUAUAUAUAUAUAUAUAUAUAUAAUUGACAUGAUUGGAGGUUUUAAAUAGUUCAUGUUGUUAAAAAUAAAAUAAAUAGUAGUGGACACUUUCAUUAUAUAAAAACGGGCACUUGGUAGAAAAUAGAAUAAAGGUUAUAGUGUGCUUUUGUAGGUGUGUAAUGCGGUAGGAACUAGGAAACUAACAGGAAUCAUAGGAAGGGAUAUAAUUAGGAAGAAAAAAAUAGUCCAAAGAGAAAGAAGAAGAAGAAGAUAUAUCCCGACACUGAGUGACGGCUAUGCACGUGAGUUUCACGUGGUCUUCAAAUGGAGACAGGAUAAAAUUCAACUUGUCUACUGUACUUUCGUUGCAGGUUAAGAACACAAAAACACAAGAGAGAUAAACCGAAGUGUCAAAACGUUUCACGUAACUCUGUUUUUUUAUUUUAAGAGAGUAAAUGGAUUGUACUCAAUUUUAAGAUUAUAUAAUAAAAAAAGAAAAUUCUCACUAAUAUCACGUUCAUAAUACCAUUUUACAUAUUUACAUUAACAACUAGGGUCGACCCGCCCUACGGGCGGGAUGAGAAUUAAAAAAAUAAUUCAAAUAGUUAGAGUAUAUAUUUUAUAUAAAUUGUUAUUAUAUAAAAAAUAGAGUCAGUCAUGUGUUCUAUGUAAUUAUAUAAUUGUGUACUUUCGUUGUAUUUUGUUUGUUUUUGCAAAAGCACUGUAUUUGUUUUGACAUUUUGGUCUUAAAUGGUUUUAAAUGGUUUUAGGUUUUGUAGGGAUUAUGUUUGAAGUGUAUGUGGGCUUUCUUAUUGUAUUUUUUUUUAUAUAAUUAAUUAGUAGUCCAUAAUUUGUUGGUUAAUUGUAUGUUUCUCUAAUUUGGACUCUUAUGUGUGUGGGCGUGUAUAUUCUGUCACUCAGCUCAACCCCCAUUUGCAUGUGAAAGUAUCAGUUGGAAACUUAUUUGAAGUAUUUUAGGUUCCAAGUAAAGUGUGCAUUACGGUUUGGUAUGUCUUUUGUUUUUGAGAAGAUUGUUCAUUGCUGUUUUAAAGGAGAUAAAGUUAUAACUAUUAAUUUGAAGCAUAAGGACAACACACGUGAGCGAGGAGAAUUUAUUCAUUGAAAUGAGAAUGUAACAUCUGGUGUGGAAGUAUAAAAAUAGAAAACCAAUUUUUAGUUCUUAUGCUAAACGGAAUGUAGUACUUAUAGUUCUUAUGGGUUCGAAAUUAAAAAAUCUAGCAGUUCUACAGAGAUGUCAGAGCUUAAGUAAUAAGCUAUAACAAUUAUAUCAGAGACACUGGUAACAGAAGCUAAUCAAAACUUCUUCUUCAAGAAAACCAAAUGGAACACAAUUAGAGAAGAGGUUUAGUGUUCAUGUAUUUACCUUAUCUGUGGCGCUCAAUUUAAGACAUAGUCAUUAGUUGUUUGGUAUUUAAAUAUUAUAUCAAGAUAUUAUUUAUAAUGAUUUUGGUUAAAAGAUUAACUAUUUUGUAAUUAUUUAAAAUAGAUGUGUCCCUAAAAUGGCAUUGAGGAACAUACGGCCUGCAAAGUGAAGAUUAGUGAGGGUAUUAGGAAACAUUAGAAGUUAGAAUAUCAAAUUACAGCGGAUAACUAAAUACCUCCCACGAAUUUUGGAUUAAAGCCGGUUGCAACAACCACCCUUGAAUAACUCACAAUUAAUGUCAAGAUCGUGCUACACGUCCGUCUAUGGAGUUAAGAAGGUGAUGAUGGCGCUGAAUCUGUAAUUGGGCCGUUUCGUUUGAGUAAAGGAGAAAGCUAAACGACGCGGGUGGAGACAAACGAAGAGAUUCUUCAUCUCAAUCUCAGUCAUCCUAACAAUUAAAAAACCAUUGAAGUUGCAUGAAAACGCAGAAUUAUUUACAUCGGUCUCAGAUUUGGAAGAAGAACAGAAAUCCUGAUGACAGCGUGAAGGGGAUGAAGACUAUGGGCCUCCGAGGCUGUGGAUUUUAAUUUUUAUGAGUAACAGAAGCCUAAAAAUUAUUCUUCCUUUCGUUUAAACAAAACUGUGCGUUUUAAUGCAGAUAUGAUGUGUCGACUUUAGAUAAGUUUAAUUAUUUUUUAUAGUUUAAUUAUCUUUAAUUAUUAACUAAAAAUGAUUUAUAGAAACUAUACCAAAACAAUUUUGUUAAACAUGUACAUUCACCGAGGGAGUAGAUUUUAUUGUGAAAAUAUAGAAUUACUUUUUAAUUAACUAUAAUUUGGGGGUAACAACCUUUAUAUAAUAAUAGAUUGUCGUUUUAAUUAUUAAUUAUAAUUUUUUUGUUGCUAUAUUAGUUAGAUUUACGUUUGGCAAAAAGGGUAGUUAUAUGUUUCCUGAUAUGAUAACUUUUCUUUGUUUCUGUUAUUUUUCAUGUGUCCUUUUUGACUUCGUGAUAUUUUUUGCUGGAAAUUAAAUGUAAUAUAUAUAUAUAUACUUUGUAUAUGAGCGGUUGUGAUUUAACUUAUAAGAUAUUGGGUUUUCAAAAGAGCUUAUAAGAUUUUGUUUGUUAUAAACAUAUUAUUAUUUUUAUUUUUUUGUAUUCAAUUAGUAUUCAAUUUUUAUUUCAGGUUUUCUUAAAAUGCUUAAGUUGUUAGUGUAAUAAACUAUCGUUUGCUAAUUUGCUUUUUGAUUUUUGUGUAAUGUAAAUUUAUUAAACUUAUGUAGAAAGGGUGUUUAACAAAAAAAAUUGUAGAGAGGGUGUGAUGUGUAACAAAUAAGGUUCUUCAGUUAAUAAAUCAAACGAAGAAGGUUUUUUAAUUUUACUACAAUGUAAUUUUCUAGCUGACAAAGAUGAAUAAUACAUAUACAUAUCGCAUGACACCUUCCAAAAUAAUUUAUGUCACAUUUUCAUUGCUUCUACUGAUUUUGAUGACCAUUUACUAUUAUGGCUUAUAAAUAUUUGUUGCUUUUACUUUUAUAAAACUUCUGAUAUUAUCUAGGAAUUUAUCAAAGGAGAAUUCUCGCUAAUCUUAUGACCCUCUGCUUACUGCGUUGCGAGUGUAACAUCAUCCCAAAUGCAACAUAGCAAACCUGAAUUCACAAUAUAAAACUUUAAUUCAGGAAUGAAUGCAGCAGACAUAACAGUUCAACAAAAGUCUAAAGAUGUGUUCAGAAAUUAAAACAGUUCAAGAGAAUCAGAUUGACAAACCUUUUGAGUUGAUGCCUUAGACAUUCCAAUAGGUUGGUAAAGGUGAUCUCCCCCACAAAAGGCAUGUACACGCGGAGACUACAAUUUUAAAACUCGCACAUACUUCUUAUAUUCAUCCAAAAUUCUAAACCGUAAAUUCUCGUUGAAAAAUUCACAAUGCACCGAAACUGUCUCACUCACCUAAUCACAACAAAACAGCACUCAGCAAUCAAAAAGCAUAGAAUGAUAAGGAAACUCAGGUUAUUUUCCUUGUAAGAGUUGCCAAGUGAUGACCUGAAAACUAUUCUCUCUCUCAGCAAAAUUCUAGUUUCCAGUAAACAAAUUAAAAUGAAUCCCGUUCCCACUAACAGGAGAACUUGAAUCUGCACCGGAUAGGUACACAAGUUUCUUAAAAGGGGAGCUUGAAUCUUUACGCUCUAAGAUAUUAAGAUGCUCAAGCUCUUCAGGAGGCAGAUGCUCAAGCUCUUCAGGAGGCAGAAGCUUCAAACAACCUGACACACAAAUCUAUCAAUGGCAGAUUCAAAGAUGAAAUGAUGAUGGAGGGAGGGCUUACGUUGCCAAUGGCUUUAAUUAUUUAUUGACAGAAUCAACUUCUUUCCUCAUGGGGUCAGCUAAGCCUUUAAGUUCCUGAUAUGUAAUUUCACCACUCAGCUUCUUAGUCAUCAAGUAUAACAUUACCGAGAAGAAGGUUCUCAUAAAAAAGAAAGAGCUUUGAUCCACAUAACUCAUAUAAGCCCCCAAAACCAUAUACUAUAUCAUGUCUUUCGUGAUACUGAUCACUUUAGUUCUAGGCCUAAUAAUGAAGUCCGAUCCUUUAUGGAACAAAGCCAAAAAGAAAAGGUUUUUUUUUUGUUCAAUCCAAUUGUUAAAUCCGGAAACAAAAACUUGAAGAAUAAAUAAGAUUACGAUGAGGAUGAUAAAAUUAUAUAAACCUCACCACUCUCUCGGUCUCUUCUUUGACGCAACAAAGUUGAGCUUAAAUCCUUUUCCAAACCUCCAUCUUCUUCUUCUCGAUCUCCUCUUAUGUAGCCCUGAAAGCUGGCAAAUCUGUCCUCAACAUCUCUUCGUCUUCCUUCGACAUUUGGACGGUGGUAUAGCAUCGUCCGGUCUUCAGGUCGGAAAGAGAGAUCGCUGCGUUUGCCAUUUCCUGGAUAUAAGUCUACUGUCUUGUUUAAUUAGAGGGAAUGAGAAGAUGGUUUCAUGGCAGAAAAAGCUUACCUUUUUUUUAUAAUCGAAAUCCCAACGCCUUGUAUGAAGAAUCUCGCAUUCAAAGUAAAUUGUGGAUGAUGAUUUAAGAAGGAAUUUAAGAUGGUGAAUUCGUAAAUGGUAGAGAUUGAUAGUAAGAAGCUGAAACAUCUCUCUCAAAACUCUAGUUCUGUCUCAUUUACGAAUGGCGGAGACAAAGCACAAAGAAGCCCUAAUACGGAAACGACAUCAAAAGCUACGUUUAUAAUUAGAGGAACUCAUUACUGGACUGGUUAAAUUGAACAAACAAAAGGCCCAAAUAAAACACAGUCCACGUAACAAAACGUUAAAUGAAGCGCUGCGUUUAAGCAAACGGGACACGUGUCAGCACAGCAGUUCUCGACUUUCCAGGCUGGAUGCACAGGAGUGAAACAAACAUAUUUAUAUAUAUAUAGAUUUUUAUUUUCAUUUUUAAUAAAUAAUACAACACUUAUAUUUCUAUGAUUAAUUAAUUCAGAUUUAGAGUUUAGAAUUAAAGGGUAUAAAAAUAUUUUUAUAAUGUAAAAUUUAGGAUUCUAAUAAAUAUAUAAAUAAAUAUUUUUAAAUUUUUUAAAAAAAUUUAAAAAUAGUUUCAAACACAAUUUUUGAUUUUCAAAAAGAAAUUUUUAAAAAACCAAUUCGAAAAAAUCAAAACAAAAAUUAUAAAAAAUUCAAAGUUGAAAAAGUAUAAUUUGAAAACAUAAAAAUAUUAUUUAUUUAUUUAAAUAGUGAUUUAUUAUAUAUAUAGAACAAAUAUAUAAAAGUUUUUUGCCACUUAAUGAAGAAGAUAUUUUUGAAAAUGUUUUUUUAAUGGUGAUAAAUAUGAAAAAUGGUAUCCAUAAAAGUGGUAAACAUAAAAUUCCAAAGAAAAAAAAGAGAUUUUCUCAAAAUAUUUAUAACCAUCUCGUCUUCAAUGUUACGAAUACAGUUUUAUCAGGUAAAAUAAAUUGAGUUUCAUUCAUCCAAUUAGAACAUGAAACCGAUAAAGCUUCUUUUAGUUGUAUGCCCCCUCAUAGUUUUUCUCGCAAUUGAAGGAAGACACAUCAUACAACUCACAUAUAAAGCUUUAUUUCCCAGACGCACAAAUAUUUAUAUAAAUGGUGUGCACUGUCGGGCCAUCAUUCUGUCUCUUAUAAGUUAUAACGUCGCAUUCUUAUAUUCGAUGCACUUAGUUGUUGAUUUAGACUUCAACUCAAACGUGUUUAAUCUUGGAUAACCAAAACUUAGUUUCGUGAAAGAACAGUGUUUGUUGUAUGUGGAAGCACAUGGUACAUGUACAUCAUAAAUAUUAUGGUAUGGCUUUUACAAAGGAGGGGUAAUAUAAGAGGAUAUAACUAGAGAGUUGCAACUACUUUAAGCUCGUUUAUGGGAAGAUUAAUAAUAUGUUUUAGAAAAGGAGUCGAGUUUUGGUUUUUGUUACGUGUUUCCCAUUUGCACAAAAUAAAUAUAACUAAUAUUUAAAUGUAAAAAUAAUUAAAAAUAAAAUAUGACGAAAGAAGGAAAGUGGGUGACAAAGACAAGUUCCACGCAAGUAAAUGAGUGAUGUAAAGUUAAGAGGUCACAUGGGCAUGCUUUCUAUUUGGAUUACGUGUCGUUUCCCGGUACUCCUUAUUCUUUGGACCACGCUUCUCUUUCUGCCACGUGUCCUCUUACCUUCCUUCCUUCUCCGGGCCUCUCUUCCCUUCAGAUUCCAUCUUUGACUUAUCGUUUUACAUUUGGUUCUCUUAUUUCUUUUUCCACCAUAAUUGAAUUGGUUAAUAUUGAUCAGAACAAAAAAAAUGAAAAUGAUUUAUUUAUUAUCUUAUAAUUUUGCCUAUAGUUAAAAACUGAAAAUUUCAUUACCUGACUAGCAUGUAUAGAAUACAAAAUGAAUGUAAAAGAGUGUUUACAUAUCUUCUUUUCCUUCUGGAAAUCAACCCGGUUGCCAUGCUAUAUCCAAAAUAUCUAAAAGAAGGUAUGUUCGAUGAAAAUAGAUCUCCUGCUAUUCCAUCGUUUGGUUGCAAAAGUUUCCUUCUAUAUAUAAUAUAGCAUAGUUAUUUAAAAAAUGUAUGGAAAUACCUUUAAAGUUGAAAGUAAUUUAAAAAAAAAGUCCAGCCCAUUCUUAUAUAUGUUUGAUAUAACCUGGAUAUAACUAUGUUAAUCGUUAAUCUAAUCACAGUGGAUAACGACAUGCUUUCUGCAUCACUGUCACACCAAAACUUAAGUCGGAUAUAUAUAAAAACAUAAGAGAAGCACUCAAAAAGGCAGAGCUACGUACACCAGCUUGAAUUUGUAUUCUAUUGAGUCUUAACCAUUAAGCGAUAUUUGUGGUCUUAUAUAGACUUUAAGUGGGUAGAUAUGCUGCUAAUUUAAGUUAGUUUAAUGCAUGUGUAAUGUAUGGAUCGUUUAAAAUGUAUAUAGGUAUAUGGAUAAAAUUUGGAGUUUGCUUAGGUUGGUUUACUCUCGUCUUAAUAUAGGAUUCAAGACAAAAUUUAUAAUAAAUGCGAUAUAGGGAUUCAAAUCCAAGAACUAAUGUCAAACCCUAGUUUGAAAGUAGCGUCAGAAUCGCAGUCGUUAAUUAGGGUUUAUUUAUAAUCUUAAUAGACGUAUACAUUUAUAGGAAAAUGAAGAGGAGAAAAUGAUCUAAUACUAAGUGCGAAAGAAGAUGCGCAUAUGGCAUGGUGUAGAUUCCUUUUCUCAUAUGCUUUUGAGGUGGGAUAUACGAUUUACUUGUCCUUUUAACUAUAUAAUAAUACUCCCACUAUUGUUUGUUUGAUUAAACUAAUCUGAAUUAAUUAUCACUAAAGUAAAAUGAUUAAAAGAAUUAAAUGUCAUGUUUAUCCCAACAUAUGCCUUCCUUGUUUCCCGUACUUCCAACUCUCUCAGUGCUUUGAGUAACAGAUAGACAAGUGGGUAGAGAGAUUCCAUACGUUUGUGCUUUCUUUAAAUUAAUCAAAAGUUUAUCUAUCAACUAAUCAAUACAUUCGUACUGUAAUUAGCUUAUUAUAUUCUGACUGUGCUGGCGACUGAUUAGCACUAAUAAACUUAAUCAUAAAGAGUAUUUUGAGGCAAGUGCUGCCGGAGAAACUUAAAUAUCCAGAAUAUGAUGAUAUGCAAGAAUGGCUGUAAUUGACUAGCAGUACCCUAAGGUACGCCACCAUUUAAGGAUUGUUUAAAUGUAAUUAGUUAUGGCAAGGAUUUUAAAACUAGGUUGGCAAGGAUUUUAAAACUAGGUUAUUAGUUCUCAACUACUUUUUGUUGUGAAACAUCGUCGACCACCGUAAAGCUUCAAGCUACAAAAACAUCACCAAACAAGUCUUGUCUACUUUUUGUGGUGAUUAAGUUAAAUAUUGUAACAUUGGUUUAUAUGAUAGUUAUAUAAACAUUUACAGUUAAAUAAAGAAAAAUAAAACGAAGAGAAAACUGUACUAAGAUUGAUAAGUCACGUGGAUCCCCAUCGUCCGCUUGUAUAACAUUAUUCCGAGCUGUAUUCUCGUACAAAAUUACACACGAUGUAUUAGCUUUAAGCACAUGAUAACAACUAGUGUUCAUCAAAUAACCAAAAUGAUCUUAAAAUUAAUUGUUUACUUAACUACAAUGUGAAAGCAAGUAUCGUGCUCCGGCGGCUACAUUGUCUCUAGCGCAAAAUAUUGUCAGAAUAAAAAGAAGCUGUCUUAGAUCCAGCAACACUGGAGUGGCUUUAUUUGAAUUCUAUGGGUAUUAUUUUGUUUGUUUGAUGAUGUUAGUCGGAUCGAGAAAACAAAAUUUAGUUAGCACAUGCGAAUCAAAUUUUAUAUCGCAUAACAUACAAUAUAAUGAUGUGUUUUUCGAAAUUUUAUUGAUAGACCUUCAAUAUGAUUUCUUCUGAUACAAUAUCGCAUAACAUAAAAUAUGACUUUAAAUUAAUCAAAACUUUAUAUCACAUAACAUACAAUAUAAUGAUGUGUUCUAAUACCUUUACGUAAUACUCCUUUCGUUCCUUAAAGUUAUAUAUUAUAGAGAAAAAAUUUGUUUCAAAAAGAUUUAUUUUUAUUUUUUUAAUGCAUGUUUUAUUAACUAAUUGUAAAUUUUAAAAAACUUAAUUGCACUAAUUGUUUUUUAUUGGUUUAGAGUUAUUGUAAAAAAUAAAUACAAAAAAUUAUGUAAAUUUAAUAUAUUUUAUUAAAAUGUGUGAAAAAUAUAGAAAAUUGAUCUUUUACGAACAGAAGGAGUAACAAAUAUGAUUUCCAAGGUCAUUCCGCCGAGGAAAAUUAAAAUAAAGAUUCAUAACGUUUUUGAUUAAUAAAAGAAUAGAAAUUUGAUUCACAAGGCCAGGUGAACAUAAGGGGCUGGCAUCGUUACGAAUCGAACCAUGUGGGCCGUAGUCUUUAGAUUUCGUGCACGACAUACGGCCCAAAAUAUGAGCCGAUUGCAAGAUAAACAAACGAUUUUCAGGCUGCUGAGCUGUUUCCUAUCCACAAACAGCUUGAUUAGUUUUUAAGAUUUGCAACCAAAAUAAUUUCAUACAAAAAUACAUUUGCUGAUGUCUGGGCAGCUAACCAAUAUAUAAAAGUGCUUGCGAACGAGAAAAUUAUAUAUUUAGUUAAGACUUUUCUUGUAAAAGAAAAUAUUUUGCAAUUGUUUGUACAAGAUUCAUGUAAAAAGAUGAUUAAAACUCUCUAGGGACANNNNNNNNNNNNNNNNNNNNNNNNNNNNNNNNNNNNNNNNNNNNNNNNNNNNNNNNNNNNNNNNNNNNNNNNNNNNNNNNNNNNNNNNNNNNNNNNNNNNNNNNNNNNNNNNNNNNNNNNNNNNNNNNNNNNNNNNNNNNNNNNNNNNNNNNNNNNNNNNNNNNNNNNNNNNNNNNNNNNNNNNNNNNNNNNNNNNNNNNNNNNNNNNNNNNNNNNNNNNNNNNNNNNNNNNNNNNNNNNNNNNNNNNNNNNNNNNNNNNNNNNNNNNNNNNNNNNNNNNNNNNNNNNNNNNNNNNNNNNNNNNNNNNNNNNNNNNNNNNNNNNNNNNNNNNNNNNNNNNNNNNNNNNNNNNNNNNNNNNNNNNNNNNNNNNNNNNNNNNNNNNNNNNNNNNNNNNNNNNNNNNNNNNNNNNNNNNNNNNNNNNNNNNNNNNNNNNNNNNNNNNNNNNNNNNNNNNNNNNNNNNNNNNNNNNNNNNNNNNNNNNNNNNNNNNNNNNNNNNNNNNNNNNNNNNNNNNNNNNNNNNNNNNNNNNNNNNNNNNNNNNNNNNNNNNNNNNNNNNNNNNNNNNNNNNNNNNNNNNNNNNNNNNNNNNNNNNNNNNNNNNNNNNNNNNNNNNNNNNNNNNNNNNNNNNNNNNNNNNNNNNNNNNNNNNNNNNNNNNNNNNNNNNNNNNNNNNNNNNNNNNNNNNNNNNNNNNNNNNNNNNNNNNNNNNNNNNNNNNNNNNNNNNNNNNNNNNNNNNNNNNNNNNNNNNNNNNNNNNNNNNNNNNNNNNNNNNNNNNNNNNNNNNNNNNNNNNNNNNNNNNNNNNNNNNNNNNNNNNNNNNNNNNNNNNNNNNNNNNNNNNNNNNNNNNNNNNNNNNNNNNNNNNNNNNNNNNNNNNNNNNNNNNNNNNNNNNNNNNNNNNNNNNNNNNNNNNNNNNNNNNNNNNNNNNNNNNNNNNNNNNNNNNNNNNNNNNNNNNNNNNNNNNNNNNNNNNNNNNNNNNNNNNNNNNNNNNNNNNNNNNNNNNNNNNNNNNNNNNNNNNNNNNNNNNNNNNNNNNNNNNNNNNNNNNNNNNNNNNNNNNNNNNNNNNNNNNNNNNNNNNNNNNNNNNNNNNNNNNNNNNNNNNNNNNNNNNNNNNNNNNNNNNNNNNNNNNNNNNNNNNNNNNNNNNNNNNNNNNNNNNNNNNNNNNNNNNNNNNNNNNNNNNNNNNNNNNNNNNNNNNNNNNNNNNNNNNNNNNNNNNNNNNNNNNNNNNNNNNNNNNNNNNNNNNNNNNNNNNNNNNNNNNNNNNNNNNNNNNNNNNNNNNNNNNNNNNNNNNNNNNNNNNNNNNNNNNNNNNNNNNNNNNNNNNNNNNNNNNNNNNNNNNNNNNNNNNNNNNNNNNNNNNNNNNNNNNNNNNNNNNNNNNNNNNNNNNNNNNNNNNNNNNNNNNNNNNNNNNNNNNNNNNNNNNNNNNNNNNNNNNNNNNNNNNNNNNNNNNNNNNNNNNNNNNNNNNNNNNNNNNNNNNNNNNNNNNNNNNNNNNNNNNNNNNNNNNNNNNNNNNNNNNNNNNNNNNNNNNNNNNNNNNNNNNNNNNNNNNNNNNNNNNNNNNNNNNNNNNNNNNNNNNNNNNNNNNNNNNNNNNNNNNNNNNNNNNNNNNNNNNNNNNNNNNNNNNNNNNNNNNNNNNNNNNNNNNNNNNNNNNNNNNNNNNNNNNNNNNNNNNNNNNNNNNNNNNNNNNNNNNNNNNNNNNNNNNNNNNNNNNNNNNNNNNNNNNNNNNNNNNNNNNNNNNNNNNNNNNNNNNNNNNNNNNNNNNNNNNNNNNNNNNNNNNNNNNNNNNNNNNNNNNNNNNNNNNNNNNNNNNNNNNNNNNNNNNNNNNNNNNNNNNNNNNNNNNNNNNNNNNNNNNNNNNNNNNNNNNNNNNNNNNNNNNNNNNNNNNNNNNNNNNNNNNNNNNNNNNNNNNNNNNNNNNNNNNNNNNNNNNNNNNNNNNNNNNNNNNNNNNNNNNNNNNNNNNNNNNNNNNNNNNNNNNNNNNNNNNNNNNNNNNNNNNNNNNNNNNNNNNNNNNNNNNNNNNNNNNNNNNNNNNNNNNNNNNNNNNNNNAUGUACUAGUAGGGAAACAAGAUAGAAAAAAGAGUCGGAGAGAUUUGGAAAACAAAUAUUUUUUGCAGGACUUACGAUGGGAAGUCGUAGAGACGCAAAAUAUUGUCUUUGCAAGAGCACGGCAAAACUGGCUUGGUUUCUUCAUCAUGUACGCCAGAGGUUCUUCUCUGAUGAAUAGUUUAUGGCGAUGAGGUUCUUAUUAGAUAGAGUUCUUGGCACUGCUCUGAAUCGCUGAUGCUCUGCAGAGACUUAGUUCUUACUCUUCACCAUCUGGAUUUAGCUCUUACCCUGGUCUCAACUGCUCUCGGAACCAUCGAAUUCAUUGGCAAGGCAAGUCCGUCUCUCGCUGGAAAGCCGGAAACCAGGUAGGUAUUACUGAGCUUACAACACUGUGGUUAUGGAUUAUGACACUCAUCUGUAUUAAAUUCCCUUGAGAUACCUUUUCUUUGAAAAAAAAUAAAGUUCCCUUUAGAUAUGUGAGCUUGAUUAUAAGAUUGAUGUGAAUAUGCUGCUCGGUUCUCAUUUUCAUGUUCUUAAUGACUUAGAAUUCAGUGAUACAACAAUUGAGUUAGUGUUAUACAGCUUUCUGGUUUCAAUUCAUUUUCAUCUGUUUAGUUGUUGAUUAAUCUUAUUCCUGUUUGUUUUUUAUUGCCUUCAAACCCUCUACUUAGGCUUAGAUUGACCCAAAGAUGGUUGGAGGUAUUGAGAUUCCAUUUAUAAUAAGUAACAGCUUAUAUUCGUAUCAUCCGGAUCCUUAUAUUCGUAUUCCUAUGAUUUCGUUUACAGGAACUGACAACACCCAUUACUUGGCACUGGUACUUGAAACAUCUCAUUACUUGCAGUGAAAGCAACCGGCUCUAAUGCUUGGAUGUCUUGGAUACAGGUUCACGAAGACACAAUAGGUAGCAUCCCACUAAUUAUCAUCCACUCUAAUGUUUCGGCAACAACCUCAAUUGCAAAACUACAAUCACUAUUAUUUUGAGACUCUUCACUCUGUUUACAUUUUUACAUUUCGUCCACAUACAACUCUCAUUUUAUACUAUAAAUUAUCUAACAUGUGUGCAAACAUAUAAAAAUAAUAGAAAUAGAUUGUACACCCAUAAUAUUGAUAGGUAAAAAAGUAUACAUCGCAAAUUCUAAUGUAAGGACAUGUAUAUUAAUCAAUAACAUUUUUAAAUUUCAUAAAUAAUAUAUACGGAAAGAGUCAAAAAAUAGUAACCAACCCAUAACAUUCUCUUCCUACGAUCAACACUCUAAUCGACAAUAAAAAAAAAGUAAAUAUAAACAUAGAUUCACAAUUACUUAAAAAUAAAAUAUAUAAUUAUAUAGUCGAAUAAGAGACAUGAUAUAAAAUAAUGUAAAAAUGAAUAAAUCAACAAUUCUACAUCACUGAAAUAAAAACAUAAUAAAACUUCAAAUAAACAAUCUUAUUAAUCCUAAGAAAAAAUUAGUUAAUUGUAAUGCGAAUGAAAGUAAAUAAAGAUUAACAAUCAAUAAAAUAAUGAAUCAUAUUAAUAUAAAACAAAAUAUUUUAAAAUAAAACAAAUAUUAGACAAAAAUCAAACAUAUUUACUUUAACAAUUUAAAUUAUUUUUAAAUUAUCAUCCCGCUCGUAGGGCGGGCCGGUCCUAGUAUAUUAUUAUAAACAAAUAACUUAAUUGUCAUCUGAUAUGAAACUCAUGAAUUUGGCAGCAUAUAUCAUGGACAGUGCAUAUAAUAAUCCAAGUGAGUCAGGUAUAUGUUUAUUUGUUUUUAUGAAAUGUUUGGAAUCUGUCAUCAUGAUAAGUUAUUUAUUCCCUUUAAUUGAUUUGGUCCCUAAAGGCUAAAGUAUGCUUCAAAAAUAACAAGGACAAAAUCAGAGAGGUUGAGGAAGAGUCACGUCCGGGAAGAUGUCUUUUUUUUUUUGGUUUUUGCUAGUGAAAUAUAAUAAGGGAAUAAAGUCAUAAACUAAAAAGCGAAUAAAAUAAUACAACCCACCUUUUUUAAUAAUUCUGUUAUGUAUAUGUAGUUCAUCUAGAAGGUCAACUAAGCGAUUAGAUGAUUAGAAGAUGAUGGUUAUCAAGUUAAAUAAUAAACUGUUAAAGAUGGGAAUGAUUCAUCUUAACGUCGUUAUCAUUUAGAAAUAACGGGAGAAGAAAUUUAAUGAAUCUUUCUAAUGGCUAAAAAUAUUGUCAACUUCAUUGCUAUGUCAUUUUGAAGGGUUUUCCUUCUGCAAUGAAGAUAUAUCCUACAUUCAUAUUUCCAAUCUAUUUUUUUCUGAAUUUAGGUUGUGAUACUAGUUGUUAAAAUUUUAAAUAUGUCUAAACUUUUUAUAUUUUAAAACAUUUAUCAGUUUUUAUAAAUUAGAGUUCAGCUUAAUUUAUAGUAAUCAAACUACCCUCAUCUAAACUUCUAAUGAUAAAUUGAUAUGCGUUUCAAUGCUCUAUUCAUUCCAUAUGGCGAGAAAAAAAUGGUAGAAAACAUGGAAAGAUGCAUCAGUCAUGAGCAUCUUUGCUAAAAUUCAUUGAUAAAGAAGUAAGAAAUCGCAUAUCUUCUUUGCAAAUGGAAGGGAGUCGAAAGUUCUCCAAAGCAUUAGAGUCUGGUUUGAUACAAGAAGCAAGUGAGGGGUUAAGUUGUUUUCUAAAUUUACUCUUACACAAACUCUAAAACAAUGCCACACUUGUUGUAAAUUUAAAAAAAAAAAUUUUUUAACAUUCUUUAAAAAAAAUGAUAAAUUGAAAUUGUUAUCCAACAAUUAUAUCUCUAAAAUACAAACUCUGGAAGGAUGCAAUAGUUUUGUUUCUAGAAAUAUAGUUAAAGCAAUUUAAAUCAAGUAUACCCGAAAUUAUUUAACAUUUUACCAAAAAAAAAGUAUACCUGAAAUCUCAUCAUUUGGUGAAACGUGUUUAUUUAACAUGCUGAAAAAUAACUUUGGGAUUACUUUCCUUUAAUUUUUUUACGGCACGACUAGUAAAUAAAAACAAUACUCUUUUGGGAGGUACAACAUUUUGAUCAAGUAUGAACAAUCUGUUUUAAAUCAUAGACUAUCUAUGACCAUGUCACAUGGCUCAAAUCAUAGCUUCCAACUCCAAAACCAAAAGAACCAAUAUACAUUUUAUCUUUUAAUUAAACUUUCACGUAAUAAAUCUAAAGUGUCUGAGUAAAACAAUUACUCUUGUGUGGACACUAAAAUAAAACUUUGUGGGUAUGAUUGGUAUUUUGGAGUAAUUGAGAUAAAUAUAAAAAAUGAAAGUGCUAAGAAAUAGAAAAAAUGAGAAAGAAAGAAAAAAGUUACUUUCGUAAACAUUAGCGUGAUAAUAAAUAUGAGUUUUUGUUUAAAUAGUAGUAAAUAUUGUAUAGAUAAAGAUUCUUUUGACAAAUUUUUAUCGUAAACAUGAGUAAUACUAGGUGUUCUGCAUAGUGUUCUUAUAGAUAUUUAUUUGUUUAGAACUAUUAAAUAAAAACUAAUAUAAUAAAUUAUUAAUUAUGUUUUAAAAAAGAUAUAUCAAACAUUAAACUUUAUAUUUUAAAAUAAAAAAUAUUAUUUCAGAUAAAAACACAACAUAUUUAAGAAUUAUCUUAUAUUUUAAAUAUAUAUUUUAUUAUAUAUAAUUUUAUUAUAUUUACUUAUAGUAAUUUAUCAAAUAUAACAUAUAAAUAAAAUAUUAUUAAUAUAUUUUCAUUAGUUUUUAUCAAUAUAUAUAUAUGCUUAUUAUUGUGUUAAAUUUUAAAAACAUUCACAUAUAUUUUAGAAAAUAUAUUUAUUUGCUUGAUUAGCAUUUAAUUAUAAAUUUUUUUAUAUCUAACUAUAAAUUUUUUAAUAAAAUAUUAUUUUCAGAUAACAACAGAAUAUAUCUAAGAAUUAUCUUAUGUUUUAAAACUUGUUUUUAUUUUUGAAAAUUUUAUUAUAUUUAUUUAUAGUCAAUUAUCUAAUAUAAUAUAUAAAAUAUAAUAGUAUUAAUAGAAAUUCGUUUUUAAUUAUUUAUAUUUUAGAUAAUUCUUAUUAUUAUUAAUUUUAAUCACUUAUUUAAUCAUAUAUAUUUUAAAUUUGUUUUUAUUUUCAACUAUUUAUAUAAUUUAUUAAUUAAAGAUAUAAACGAUUUAUUAUUAAUUUUAAUCAAUUUUUUAAUCAGAUAGAUUUGAAAUUCGUUUUUUAUUUUUACCAAUUUAUAUAAUUAUUCAUUAAGGGUAUAAACGAUAUUAACCACUAUAACUUUUAACGUGAGAGCUCCGUUGCAAAAAUUUACUUCGCAAAUAAUAGUAUAGAUUCUUGGGUAUUUUCGAAAUUCAGCUAGUUGUUUAAUAUUUUAGAUUUUUUUAUUGUAUUUGUAUUUAAUUAGUUUGAUUUUAAAGUCAUAAAUUUUACUGGUUUUGGUUUAUUUCAAAGCUUUACUUUCAUUAAAAAUUUCAGGUUUCUAUCUGGUUUAUCUGAUUUAGAUGUAUCGUUUUAUGUUUGAGAAAAAAGUAGAAAAAAACUAUAUAUCUAUAUACUAAAAAUGAAAAUAUUAGUAUGUUAUCCAUCACUUAUUUAAUACAAGGUAUUCGUUGACAAAUACGUAUACUAAAUGCUAAAAAGACUAGCAUAUCAAAAAAUACAAAAAUCAUGAUUAAAGGCUAACGUGGAGCAACAGAACAAAGCCUAUCAGAUACCAAAAAAAAUGUCUAAAACAUUAUUAUAUUACAAAACACUGAUCUUAUAUAUUAAAACAGAAGUCACAACCUUGAUUCAUGUGUGAUUUUUUUAAAAAUAGACCUAAUGGACCUAUUCAUAAAAAUUCAUACUAUAUUUUAAUUCAGACUAAUAAUAAAUAUAAUUUUUAAAAUAUUUUAAUCAUAGUAUCUUUGGAUAUCUUUUCAUUUUAAAUAUAAAUAUAUUUAUUUUAAAAUUCUAACAAAUCUGUUUAAAAAGAUUUUUACAAGAUCUUCAUUUUCGAAAUUAUAUUUAAAUAUUUUCACUAAUUCCGAAAUUAGUUUAAAAUAUUAUUAUACAUUAAUAUAUUCAGUUAUAUAAAAUGAAAAAUAAAAAAAUCUAUAAUAUUUUAGUUAUUAUAUAAUCAUAAUCAAUCAUAUUAAACUAAAAUUAUUAUAUUGAGCUAAAUAUAAUAAAAUUGUAUUAAAUUUAUAUAUUUAUAUAUUAUUAUAAUGUAAUUUAUUUAGUGUAAGAUUUUAUUAAUUAAUAUUACCUUAAUAUUUUUAUAUAUGUCCUAGUUAUUUAUAAAAGUUUAAUGAAUUUAUAUUAAUUAUAACAAAUAUAAAGACCAUAGCGUAAAAUACAAAUAAUUUUGAAGUUAAGUUUGAAGUUUUUCUUUUAGAGAAGAACAUCUUUAAACUUCAAAUUUAGAGUUUUUGCGAACUCUAAAAUAAAGAAUAUUUUUGGAGAUGCUCUAAACGUCUAAAACAAAGAAUAUUUUUGGAGAUGCUCUAAACGUCUAAAACACUAGUGUGGUUAAAAAAAAAAACGUCUAAAACAUUAGCAACUAUACAUAAUACUACAAAACAUAGAUUGUUAUAUAUUACAAUGGCAAACUAGUCGAUAAAUAUAUAACCAAAAGUAGUAUUUUACACACCCUUCAAAAUACAUAUCUAUUUAUUCUUUGAUACACUGGAAAUACACUAAUUUUGAAACACGACACGCAGUUUCAACUUUUAAACGCUAAAGAGUUCGAAAACGAUAAGCAGUUCUAAGCACCACGUGCCAAGUCCCUGUCACGUUCCAAAAACCGUGUACACUCCUCCGUGACUUUGCAAAGCGACUCGUGCGCCGAACCACCACCGUCGAUGCUCAACGACAUCUCAGCCUUGUCUCUCAGAGUCUUUACUCUCCUUCUCAUCUCUUCACCUUCCUCUUCAGCCAUAACCUUCCUCGCAACCGACUCAAUCUCCGAUCUAGUAAUUGCCUCCUUCGAAUCAUCAGCUCUGACGGCGAUUCCAAGUUCGUCGCUGAGCAACGCCGCGUUCAUAUUCUGCUCGGCGAAAAGCGGCCACGCGAUCAUCGGCACGCCGCUAACCACGCCUUCUAGCGUCGAGUUCCAACCGCAAUGUGUCAAAAACCCACCAACGGCCCUAUGAGCAAGAACUUCAGUUUGUGGGGCCCAUGAUGGGACCACGAGACCUCUAUCGCAAGUACGUGUCACGAACCCUUCCGGUAAGUAUUCGGGCGUGCUGUCUUUGGCUCCGCCUCCUCCGUUAGCCGAGACAUAAUCGCUGCAAGAAGAACCGUCCACCGGGGGUCGAACCACCCAGACGAACCGUUGCUGACUCUUCUCGAGCCCCCAAGCCAGUUCGGUUAGCUGUUUAGCCGUUAGAGAACCGCCACUCCCGAAGGAAAUGUAUAGAACCGAUUCAUCUGGCUGUUCAUUUAACCAAUUCAAAACCGGGUGAUCGGUUUCAGAUGUUUCAACCGGUCUGCAUAAUGGACCGACAGGGUAAACCGGUACACGAGCGACCCGACCCAAAAGUUUUGGGUCUUGAAGGGAUUUUAAUGAUCUAGGCUCCAUUUCAUCCCAUGUAUUCACCAAAAUGCCAUCAGCUUUUGGGUAGGCUAGACAGUGACGAAUAAAAUCCCGGUACAGCGGUUCGUCCGGAACCAGGUAUGCGUCCAUGGUAUCUUCAAAUCGGACCGGUUCACAUCCCGGUAUUUCAAGCGGUUUUCUUUGUACCGUGUGCUCUUCUUUGACAUCUUUGUCCAAAGUUGGAUAAUACAUAGCAACCCCAACAUAACGUGCGUUAGAAGCGAUCAACACAUACGUCAACAUAUUGAAUUCUGAUGCUAGACAUAAAGCAUCUGUUCCGAACAAGUCGAUGAUCAGAGCCGUUGGCUUUUGAUUCAUCUCGGCGAUCUUGGAACGGAGGGCUGGAACGGUUUCACGCAUAAUGACUCCUAUCUUGGUCACCACGUGAUCUGCGGGGUUCACUAGUUGAGAAAUGUCCGGCGAUGGAAGGUUGACGAAGUCCACGCCGCUCGAGGUUAAGAACCUGGACUGAGCGGAGGCUGCGUCGGUUUCGAGGACGAAGACGGUGACGCGGAAGCCGUGGUUAGCGGAGAGACGUUUAGCGAGCUCGAUCACCGGGAUGAGGUGGCCCAUUCCGGGACUUGAAAACAUGGCGGCGUGUGGUUUUGUCAUUUGCAUUGAUACUUUUUUUUUCUUUACUAUUUAGUUUCAGUUCUGGAGGAUUUGUGAUGAGUUCCUAUGGUAGCUCCUUUGGGUUCAUUUAUAGCCAAUAUUCUAUUACUACUUUUAAAUAAAAACAUUGAUAGUCUAGUUUAAAUUAAUAACUUCGAUUGAUUACCAAAAUUUGUAACUUAAUAUAUUUAUUUAUUUAUUUCUUGUGUCUAAUAUUGCAAAUUAGUUAUUGUUAUACACUUAUAUAGUACUAGGUGAUUUUCCCGUGCUCAUGCACGGGUAUAAAUAUUUAUAAAAUAAAUAUAUUAUAAUAAUUGAUUGUUAUCUAUUUUUAAUUUUAAAUUAAUUUAUAAUUUGUUUGCAUAAUUUAUAUUAAUAAUAUUAUAUUACUUUAAUUAGAUAUAUGAUUUUAGAUAUGUUAUAUCUAGUCGGUUUUGUUAUUUUUAUAGUUGAUUUAGUUAUCAUUUGGGUAUAUUAGAUUGCAUAUUUUUCUCUAAAUUCAAUUAUAAUAUUUUUUAUUUUAAAUAUACUAAAAUUAUGAUUAAUUUUCUUAUUUGCAUUUACGUUGAUUGUUGUCUUAGAUUUGUAAAUAUAUUUGAGGAAGAUUAUGUAUAACUUAAGAUAUAUUGUGCUUACAAUGAAAUAUAAAAUAAAGUAAAGUGUCUGAUUCUAAAUUACGUAAAUUAAUAUAACGAUAAUAUUCUACAGUCUCAUUCAUAUAUAUAAAUUUUACAAAAGAACUAAAUUAUAACAAUUGAUUAAUAUUUUAUUUUCAUUUGUUGAUAUGUUUUGAGUCAUCCUAUUGUUUACAUUUAUAAAGUAAAUUAUUAUUAUAAAAUUAUAUAUUCUGAUUGUAGUUAAAUCUAUGCUUUUAGAUAUAAGUUGGAUUAGUCGAGUCACUCAUAUUGUGAGUAUAUUGAGUGACAUAUAUUCUUUGAAAUUGAAACUACAGUAUAAUUAUUUUUUAUUAUAAUUUAGUAAAAGCAAAUUAAUUUUAUUUAUCGUUUAAAUAUGAAUGUAGUUUCAUAAUAUUUAUCAAAUUAUGUGUUAUUUGUUUAAAAAAAAAUCAGAAACUAAAGUGAUGAUCAAUUUAUAUGAAGUUACAUACAUAAGUAACUAAUACAUUUUUUGAAUUUGAAAGAAUAAUUUGGAAGCUCGUGUACACAUAUCAAUAUUUUACAAUAAUUAAAUUAUUUUAUAAAUUUUAAAUAAUUUUAUGCCUUAGAUUUAUUACCCGAUAAACUGAGAUUUAUUUUAAAGAAUCUUAAAAUGAGAUUCAGAUUUGCUUUGGUAUUUUAAUUAUAGUCAUAUAAAAUUCCACAAACAUAAAAACAUAUAUUUUAAAAGUAAAUUUAAUAUUAUGAAAACAAUUAAUUUUAAUAAUGAUAAAAUAAAAUAUAUCUAGCUCGUUAUGUUAUUUUAAAUUAUUUUGUAAUUAUUUGAUCAAAAGAUAUUUGUUGUUAAUUCUUUUUAUUUUUUAACAUCUCUUAAAAAAUAAGCAGUUAAAAACAAUUGUGUGAUUGUAUUUGCAAAAUUAUAUUAUAUCAGUAAAAUAUAAUGUAUACAUUUUUUACCGUAAUUUAAAGAUAUUAUAGGCAACUAAAUAUAUGAAAAAUAAAUAAAACAUUUCAGUAAUACUAAUUAUAAACUAUUUUUAGUCAAUUAAACAUAGAUUAGUUUAUGUUACUUAAUUAUUUUAUGUAAUUAUCUAAGAAAAUAGAUAGAUAUAUAAAAAUUAUUUCUAUUACUUUGAAAAUAUAUAUUUUUGUAUUGUUUAAAAUUAUGUUUGAAAAGAAAUAAUAUUUCUUUUCCUAAUAUCAAGAUUAUGUGUGUGAAUCUUGUUUUAUGAAAUCACAUUAUAUGCAAAAAUAUAUAUUCAUCUAAGAAAAUAUAGAUAUAAGGAAAUAUUUUAUUACUUCAAAAGUAUAUUUUAUGUUAUUUAAAAAUAUUUUUAAAUGGAAUAUUUCUAUUUUGUGAACUUUCCAUUUUAAUGAAAUAAUAUUAGUAUUAAAUAUAUACAUAUAUUUUCGUUUUUAAUUUUUUAAAAAACUUUAUAAAUGUUUCCUUUUUAUUAUAGAUGUUAUUUGGAAAAUUUGAAAAAGGAAACUAAAUAAAAAAUUUAAUAAUAUUAUUUAAAUCUAAUAUUUUUAAUUCAUUAAGGGUAUCAAUGUAAUCAGCCAUCGUGAGAGUUAACGUGAGCGCGACACAUAAGAAACUGACUUCUCAAAUAAUAUUAUAAAGAUAGUUUGAAUUAGUAGUGAACCACUUCAUUAUUAUUGAAGUUUCUACCGCAGGUUAGGUUAGUGUGUGAGGUGUAUGUUUUUGUUUUUAUCAAACUACCAUCUUAAUUCAUAAAGGGUGCAAUGGUCUACGAAUACAUUGAAUGACAUUAGUACUAAACUAUUAAUCUAUAUAUAUUACUUGCCUUUCUUCCAUAAAAAAAUUGAAAAAUUUGUUUCACAAAGAUAACUGUUAGAUACUAUAAAUGCAUUUAUUGAUAAUCAAACUUCACAUAUACUCCAUUGUAAUAUAGAAAUACUAAUGAAUUAUAUGAUUUACUCUUAUCGGAAACAUUAUAUAACGAUAAGAUCAUGAAAAGGGUAAUAACAAAAUACUGAAAUUAACUUAGGUGAAAAUUUGGACAAGUGUGGAUCUUUAACAUGAUGCAAGUAAAUCUGGCCAGACGUGGAUCUUCAUAGGACGGCUCAGGUGAUGCAGUUAGACGUAGGUCUUCAUAAGACAGAUAGUAUUGUCGGUUGUCGAAUCGUCUAUGUAAUCUUUCCUAUAUCAUAAUUGUAAGAUCAUAAUAAAUCAGCGUUAAAAAAAAACUUGGGUGAAAAUUUACAUACGAUUAUUGUUUGUUUUGUUAUAUUUUAAAAUAUUGAUGAAUGAAAUUAAAUCCAACUGCAGUUUUGUAAAAUAAAAUUGUUGAGAAAAAAAUCUAUAAGACCGUAAAAUAAUUUUACUAUUUCAUACAUCGACUAUAAAAUACCAAAAUAUACUACUUCUUAUUGUAUUUUCUUGAGACUCGACUAAUGUGCUAAAUUAGAUUACAAAGAUAGCACAUGGUGUUGUCUGUGUAAGUUAUUUUCUUCUUUAACAGACUGAGCAGAGUGCAGUGCACGAUGGUCACUCCCAUAUUGAGCAGAUCUGGAGUUAAAGACAGUCGGAGUCUAUAUUUUAACUUUUAUUAUAUACCAUUCCACUCAUAACACAAUUUUAUUUAUCGACACGGAUAAAAGUCAUAAAUCUGUUACGUUUAUGAGAAAUUAAUAUCAACCCUUACAAAUCUGUACUGUUUAUCAAAACUGUAAUAUGAAACCAUGCAACUUGAUAUUCUUUCUCUUCUAAAAAUAGGCACUAUAUAUAUGUACAUGUUUAAUAUGACAAAACUGAGAUAUAUGAUUGUCUGUAUUUUUUUUUUUUUAACUUAAUUUCAUAAUUUGUCUGUAUUUUUGCAUACUAUAAAAAAUACAAAUAUUUUAUUGGUUCCUGGCAAGAUCUAGCUACCACCACAUUUGUCCUACAUAAUACAGAUUUUUUUAUAUAUAUUAUUAUCAUAAUGUCUUUGAAAACUAUAUGAGAAUUCUAUAGAAAAACUACCAUUUAGUCACCACACGAUCGAACUCACGUUGAGGAUAUUGGUGGAUCACAUUGUAACAACCCGAUCCCCCGGCGUCCGACCGGGGUUAUCGAAGGGGCGUUAUGGACACGUGUCUACNNNNNNNNNNNNNNNNNNNNNNNNNNNNNNNNNNNNNNNNNNNNNNNNNNNNNNNNNNNNNNNNNNNNNNNNNNNNNNNNNNNNNNNNNNNNNNNNNNNNNNNNNNNNNNNNNNNNNNNNNNNNNNNNNNNNNNNNNNNNNNNNNNNNNNNNNNNNNNNNNNNNNNNNNNNNNNNNNNNNNNNNNNNNNNNNNNNNNNNNNNNNNNNNNNNNNNNNNNNNNNNNNNNNNNNNNNNNNNNNNNNNNNNNNNNNNNNNNNNNNNNNNNNNNNNNNNNNNNNNNNNNNNNNNNNNNNNNNNNNNNNNNNNNNNNNNNNNNNNNNNNNNNNNNNNNNNNNNNNNNNNNNAUGUCUAGGCCCAGCCGUGGCCUUGUCCAAGAGGAGAGAGAGUCGGCGUCCAAGAGGAGAGAGAGUCGGCUAUGUCUUGGCCGACUUUAGAUCUUAGGACGUUUUCCAUUUAUUUGUUUUAGAUUUUUUCCUAUUUCAUGUUGUAUUAGGUUUUGGAUAAUUUUCUUUUUCCUAUGCUUUGUAAUCCUUAUAUAAAAAACAUCUAUUACUCAUUAAUAAUACACAGAAACAAUUCCCCCAUUCUUUUACAACAAGGGUAACAUUAUUGUUUCUUUUUGGUGACUAGGGUUUGUCCUGUUUUAAUUAAAUAGAGUAGUAAAGCCGAUACCAACCAGAUUUCGAUUUAGAGUGAAAACUCAUCAUCAACAUGGGCGUAAGCAAGAUGAAACUUAGCUGGUCGGAGCUUUGUCCUGAUUUGCUGCGAUGUGUUUAUGAACGUCUCAGUUUCACGGAUCUAAUUCGAGCUAAAUCAGUUUGUUCGUCGUGGCACUCAGCUUCGAGAGGCUUCCUCCCUAAACGCAAUCAGAAUCCAUGGCUGAUUCUCUUCCCGAGCAAUGGCAGCCACGAUAGCAAUGGUACUUGCUUGUUCUUCGUUCCGGAGGAUAAAGACAAAGUCUACAAAACCAGAGAUCUUGGUGUUGACUUUGCUCGGAGUCGUUGUCUUGCUACUUACGGUAGCUGGCUCUUGAUGAUGGACAACCUGUGGAAUCUCAACGUUCUGAAUCCCUUAACCGGUGAGAGGAUUGACUUACCUGCACUUACAGAGCCUGUAGUGCCUGAAAGAUUUAGACCAAUGUUGAAAUCUAGUUUAGCUUGUCUCUGGAUUGACAAGAAAACCAAAGAUUACCUAGUUGUCUGGACGAUGGAGCACUUCCUGGUCUUUACCAAGAGAGGGAUUAACACGUGGCGAAGGUUUUCUUCUAACUACGUGGGAGGGACCACGGGGUAUGUACAAAUGGUCUACGAUCACAAGGCUCAAAAGCUCUACGCCUAUCGUCUUUGUUAUGGUGACAUCAAGAUCUGGUGUUUCUGUGGAGAUGAUGAGCCGCAAGAAGUUUUUGAAGCCGAGUCUGCUUGCCUUACUGGCUUCAGUUAUCGCGAUUUCCUCCCUGAUAGGUGGCGAACAAAUGGUUUUGACUUUGAAAAAGAAGCAGGUUUAUUCACGGCUGAGUAUGUUAACGGCUGGAUAAACAUUGCACUCACGGUAUCGGGACAAGUCCUCAAGGUAUCUACUGUAGUGCAACGCUCCAAGAGAUGGCUUUUUCGCAUUCACCAGAUAUCUCAUGUGACCAAAAAGUGGAAAGAAAUUGAAUCUUUGGGAGAGAAAGCAUUGAUAUUAGACAUGGGUAUCACUGUUGUCGCCAAAGACAUCCCAGGGAUCAAAAGAAACUCGAUCUAUUUCAGUGGCGUUGGUGAUGGCAUAGAGGACCAGGACAACAUUUUUGUCUUUGAUCUAGCCACCCAAAACAUCCAACGUCUGCCACAGUGUGUUUUCUCUCCCAUUCACUUCUCUGAUGCUCGAUGGUUCUUUCCCGGUUUAAGAAAUUAAUCUUCUUGGUAAAAAACCUUUUCCUCUACGUACUCAUCCUCCCUUGUUUUAUUUUAUACAAGAUUUGGUCUCCUGAUUUUUUUUGGUUAAUGUUAAUCGAAAACAGUAAGAACUUUUAAGGAGGAGAGUUUGAGAAGGAGUUUUGCAUGGCAAAAGAAUACUAUGAAGAAAUAAGAACAUACUAGAUUUUGACCCGCACUUUGAAAGCGUGGAUUUAUUUGUUUUUCAUUUAUUAAUCGAAAGCUUAUUUACAAAUUACCAUUAUUUUUGCUUCGAACCACAACAAUUGAGUUUUUAGGUUUUUAUCAUUUGUUUUUUUUCCUCUUCAAAAUAUAGUAUUUGUUCGAAAUAUGGUAGUUGUUCUAUAAUAAUGUUUGAUUUUUAAGAUUUGUUUUUAUAUUUGACCUAGAUUCAUGGUUGAACCUAUAGACCCGAUACUUUGUAUAUAAUCCGGUUCAGAUUUAAUGAAAAAAUCGUUAAAUUAAAAUUCUGAUAUAACCCGGUAAAAACCCAAAAACUCACUACUAGCUUGCGAUCUGAUACCAUUGAUCCGAUUACAAAAUUCUGAUAGUACUUUUUUAAAAAAUUGAUUAAAUUACUCAUAUAUUUUUUAAUAUUACAUAAAUUAGUGAUUCCUUAGAAUUUGAUAAAAAUUUAUUAUGCUAUCCAAAUAAAAAAUGAUAAUAUAAAAAACCUUAUUGAUAUGAAAAUAUUAGUUUAUUUUCGUUAUUAAUAACCUAUUAUAAGUUUGUGUUUUUAUUUUAGAUUUAAAAAUUUAUUUUAAGAUAGUUUUUAAAAUAUUCUAGAAUACUCGUAAUUGUCAUAUCAAUAUUAUGUAUAAAAUGACAUUAUACAUAGAAAAAUGAUAUUCAAAUACGUAUAUGAUAUAUGGUGUAGGAUAUAUGACUUUGGUUUGUAUUGAAAAUCUGUAUAAUAUUCAAAUGAUAUAUUUUGAAUAUUGAUACGUAUAUUUAAGAAAAUAAUAUUUUCACGUUUCUUAAUUUAUUUAUAGUUCAUAAUAUAUUUAUACUUAUAUUAAAUAUAAAGUUAGUAUAUCUUUUAAAUAUAUAUAUAAGCCCACUAUUUAUAGAUUCAUUUAGGUGCAUUUGUAGGUCCAAAACCAAAAGACUUAAAUGCCAUUAAUGAAUUUUAUUAAUCAUUUGUAAAAAUAAGGGUAUUUUUGAGAAAAUUGUAAUUUUCAUUAAGGGUAUAAUUUGGAAAUGAUCAUCUUUUGAUGAUAUUGAUAUACCCCCAUUCUUUUACAACAAGGGUAACAUUAUUGAGAUCGGAAUGGUGCAAGAACAAACCACUAUAUUUUUUAAACAGACUUGAUAGCUGUCUUUAAUCUUUUUUUUUUAGAAAUUUAAUUUUUAAAUAAAAAUUAGGAGCUAUAUUAGUCUACAUUUUGAUCCGUGCUUCAAAAGCACGAAUUUUUCGGUUAAUACAAAUGUGAUACGAAUAGUAUUUUUGAUUAUGAUUUAUAUUAUUAAGUUAUUAUAUAAUUUUUUUUUUAAAAAUAAUAUAUAUAAUUUGUCAAUUCUUUUAUUUUAAAUUUUGUGUGUACAUUCUUAUCUCACAACAUCAUCUUUAUAUUUUUAUGCAUUAUAUAAAAGUUAAAUUUGUUGGCAUAUGUUAGACUAAUUUAAAAAUAUAUAUUUGCAGGGGUUACAAAAUAUAUAGAAUAUAAAUGUAGUUUCUAAAUGUAAUUAGAUUUCUUUAUGUUGGACAUGUUCCUAACUUGAUAGUAUUGACUUGAAUUAGUAAAACAAAUAGAGAUUUUUAUAUAGAAGCUUAACAUGGUUCAUUUGCACGUUAUAAAUGAGUCCAAGACAUAUUUAUGUACACUUAUGUGCAUGCAGUAUCAUAAUAUUCCAAGACAUAUUGCCAUAAGUCAGGCCUCGAUAGUUUUUUUCUUCUAGCUUUACGUGUGAACACGACAUAUCAGCCCCUGAGUCACCUGGAUGGGCUGAAGAAAUGCAUUGUAUUGGAUGAUGUGAAAGUACAUGCUAAUUUACUGCAACACACUCAAUUUCAUUCACACAACAUAAAUUCUAACUACGAUUUAAAAAUGCUACUAUUUUCGCACCACCUUGUUUCCGACUGUUUUGUUAUGAUCCAUUUCUGCAAAUGGAUAAACUUUAUUGGAUUAAUUAAGAAUUACCGCUGCAACUGAAAAUUUUGUCUUGAUCUCCAUCGCUGAUUUGGAUGUCUUCACUUGGGAGCGUUGCUGCUUUGAGCUCCUCCAACUGAUCUAAGAUCAAACGUCUUUAUUUUAUUGAAGCUAUCAAUCAUCUUUGGAGGCGUUAAGCAACCAAAGGUAGAACAGUUGAGUCUAUGUUUUCGUACGUUUAUUUUUUUUUGGAAGACGAGCCACCACCAUCACCACCACCUGCUUCACACUCCGCUACAUCUUCGUUAUCAGCUUUUGAUCCUUCAUCAGUCGCGUUCGAAACAUAGGAUGCCUUUGUCUUCUUCUUCAUCUAGUGCAUAUCAACACGUGCCUCCUCCUUUAUUUUGCUGCUUCCUGCUUCUUUCAUCGCCUUGUCUUCCACCCACAGAGGCUUCGUGGAAGCUUCAGCAUCAGCGGUUGAUGCUUUGGAGAGGUCAUUGAAGAAAUUCUGUGGAGGAGGCUCAGAACUCUGCUCUGCUGCUGGUCUCUGAGAAGUUGUUGGAUGAAGAAAGUUCUUAAAGUCAUCAAUCACUUUAGCGCUUCUAUCACCUCCUCCUUCUAGAUUGUGAUUCUCAGAGGAGGUUCCAGCAUUGUUACCUUUACCUUUCCCUCCACCACAUGAGAGACCCAAGCUGAGCUCAAGCCCAUUAUCAUCAUCCAUUUUUUUUGUUUCACACUAUCCUAAACAGCUCAACAGAUCGUUACAACAUCCCCUGUCAUCUGAGAAAAAUCAUUAGUCACAAAAAAGGAACCCAAUCAUCACUUUCCCUUUUUAAAAAUUUAUAACCAAAAAAAGGAAACAUACAAAAAGGUGUAGACUUUUCGAUCUGUUUACGGACAAAAAAACUCUGAAGACUCUGGUAAUGAUUAAUAGCACUACAAUAAGCAGAAGAUCUGUCAGGUAAUGAUGUUCGGUAAUAUUAUCAUAAACCUCUUGAAUCACUCCAAAGUACCAGACUUUGGAGUUUGGAAUCAUCAUAGAUUAGUACCCAGAACCCUUACUACAGAGCUGGAGAGCCAAGUCAGCUUAACUUAGAGCCAUUUCAAUCACAAAGAAACUCAGAAAUCUUAAAUUGAGUCAGAGAGUGAACAAAAGUAAAACCUGAAACAAUGACGAUCAGAAGAAAAGAAAAAACCCUAGCAGCUUCGCGGCGUCGCUUUGUGUCUACGUUUCCAUACGUCUAUGUGCCAUUGCUUUUUUCUCCAUCUUCUAACGAUUAUGAUGUGGAGAGUCUGUAGGGAUCUUGAAUGGAGGAUUUAUGGGAGCACAUUGAAGUACCAGCACUCACAUCCGAGGCGUUAUGCGGGAGGAGCUGGGGGAGAGGAAGAGAAUCAAUGAAGGGAUGAGACGGCGAUUAGGGUUAGGUGGAGAAGGAGCCAUAUGUUUAGAACACGGGAUUGUGCGACAUCACUGUCAAGAGAAACUCGGGAUUGGGCUGCAAGAUGGGUCAAAUGGGCUGUGAAGGUCACUAAUUUUUUUUAAUUUCAAGCCCAGUCCAAAAUGACCUGGCACUUUGAUUGGUCAUGAUUAUUUUGACCAUGUGGAUAGCCUUAGGAAGCUCAAAUUUAGCUUCUUUUAUAUAGUGGGAUUGAUAAUAAAAUUAAAUGGGAUUCCAAAAAUCCAGUUAAAAACAGAUCGAUAAAUAUGUUUGCAUAGCCAUUAAAUGAUAAUCUUUCCAUGGCUAGCGGCAGAGCCGCCCUGAAAUUUAAGAGGACAUAGGCUACUUAUCAAAGAUUUGAACUAUUUUUUUUUUACAAAGUUGGAAGCCUAAAUUUUUUUUUUUUUUGAGAAUUAUGCUUAUAUCACUUUCUUCAAAGAUUUUGGAGACAUAAUGCCAAUGUUUCAUUCAAUUUUGGCGGUUACCCUGAAAGUCAUGUUUGAUUCAAUUAUAACUUUUCUUUCAUUGGUUUUAACGAUCUUGCACAUGUUUUGAAAAGAAUUACAUUAAAUGACUCGCUUUAUAAAGUUUAUUAUUUGGAUCAAAUUUGAUCUAAAGCAACUACAUCGUCAAAAUGGUAUGUAAUCUGGAUCUCCACAGUCUUAACAAUAGAGUGUGUUUCUAGAGAAGUUGAGAUUCUGCAUUCGGAAGCCACAUACAGACUCCAGCAGCUUCAAGCUCAAAACUUAUGCAGAAGGAAAGGAGAACUCAAAAAUAAGAAUUGGUUUGCCACAAAAUAUGGGAAAUAAUAUACUUGAUGCAAAACCCACCUCAUGCAAGCUUGGUUUAUCAAGAAAUAUAAAAUAAGUUUCUUGAGAUCUUAGCUAUACUCAGAAACAAAACGCACCUCACGCAAGCCUAGUUUUGAAGAGCUUAAGUUCACAUUUAUAUAUUCCAUAGUUUCUUGUUUGCAUCAAGAAACAUAGUCUCAUUGCAUAUGUUAUUGACUCUCUUCAACAAGUAACUGAACCAUUUCUUUGAAAAUCGUAAAGUCUCUUCAAAAGCUGAGAGAGUAGGCGUGCCUUCCAAACUUACUUGGUUUAGAGCAGCUUGAAAUCCCAUGACUGUCUUCUAGAGUUUCAGGAACCGUUGCCGUGGGUAAACAAAAAAGAGGUUUAGAUGGAAUCUGGACAGUCUCUAGACUCCCCUCUAACAUCUCAAUGACUUUGAUCAUCGGUGUAAGGUCAGAUGGAUUGGUCUGAAUACACCAUAGACCAACCAAAAGCAUUUUCUUGGCAAUUCUCUCUUCUUCUUUGGUUAUCUGAUCUCCAAAAAUUCUCAUGACUUCUCCCCUCCCAAAAUCCUUAUAAAUCCAAUCUGGAAAGUACAUUGAACUAUUGUUGGAUCCAAAAUUUUCUAUAUUCUUUGCUCCAAUCAUCUCAAGGAUCACCAUACCAUAACUAUACACAUAUGACUUAUGCGAAACUCCUCCAAAAUUAUUCGAGAACAGUUCAGGGGCAAUGUAUCCUACCGUCUUUCUAGCGUCUAGCAUUGACAUGACGCUCUCUUUAUUUUUUGCAGAGCUUAGCAAGACCGAAAUUAGAAAAUCUUGGGACAAAGAUCCUUGUCCAUGAGUAUGUUUUGCGGCUUUAUAUCGAUAUGCACAAUCCUUGAUACACAACGGUUGUGUAAAUACUCUAGGCCACGAGAGACACCUAACGCAAUGUCAUAUAGCCUUUCCCAUUCUAUCUUGGUUGACAUAUUCUCGGAGAUAAACUUGUCUAGGGAUCCAUUAGGCAUGAACUCAUAUACUAUAGCUCUUUUGUUCCCUUCAUAACAGAACCCAAGCAGAGAGACAAUAUUUACAUGAGAUGUUCUACUCAUGCUAGCUACUUCGUUGAUGAACUCUUCUCCGGUUCCCUUUCCUUUACAUGAGACAAUAUUUGCACUCGUUCUACGCCUUCAUCUGGUAACUUGCCUUUGUAUACAUUUCCAAAUCCUCCUUUCCCGAGAACAUGUGCAAAUGAGCUUGUCAUCUUCUUCACUUUUGCUAACUAUAUCGUUUAAACAUAACUACUGCUUCAACGUUAUCGGCACUCCAAUCACUCUUUCUAGCAUUUUUUCCUAUUACUAGUAUCAAGACCACCACGAUAAUGAUCAUUACAGUUAAAACAGAAGAGACUCCUGCAACAAGAUAAGAAGAAUCGAAAUUUAAGGUUCAAGAGUUCCAUGUAGGUCGGUACCACUUGACCACUAUGUCAUGGAAAAAGAUGAAACUAAAGGAGCAAAAUAAAACAUAUGUUCUUUUACCUAAUCCUAGCCUUAACUUCUGGUAGUUAUUUGGUUCUGCAACAAAGAAACUCAAUUGUGAAUUUUCGUUUUCAAAGGGGGAAAGCUUUUGAUGAAGGAGGGUCACGGCUGGAAGAAGAUUAUGAGUUUGUUGAUUGUUGCUGAAGCAGAACACACCUCACAAGGUUAGUUGGUUUCUUGGUCUGGGUCUACUGUGUUCACAUGCAUUGAUUUGACAUAAGGGAUAUAAGAAAUAUAUAUUCACACACACUGAUUAGUGUGUACUAGAAAGAAUUGUAUUCUACUUGAGGACUACUUCUAUGCCUAAUAUAGAAUGAGUCUCAUCUGUUCUGCAUGCCUGUCUUGAGUGGGACUUGCUGCCCUAUAUGAAAUCAAAUGGGACUUUUUCUCUUAAAUUUCUGAAAACUAUCCUUUCUGAAUUUAAAUAAUUGAUUUUUUGUGCAAAAUGGACCCAUUAAUUAGACAUCUAACUAGGCAAAUAAGUUUUCUUGGAGCUUUUUUUCCUCGCCACUUUUUCUUUUAAGAUGUGCAUUUUACCAGUCAUUGUUGCUAUUCCCAGAGUCUGCAUUUUCUGAAAUCUGUAUUUUGGAAAAUGGCAGAAUGCCCAUUUGACAUUCUAAUAUUUUUGUGGGAGGGUUCAAUUCAAAAUCAUUGCAUGUAUUAGAUUGUACUCUGUUGAUACACUAUAUUUCAGUAGGUUGAAAUAUCAAAUUGUCCACGAGAAUAAAAUUCUUCUUACUUUAAUAGACUUGCAAACAUUUCCUCUAGUCAAAUCUUAAAACAAAAUUAUUUAGGAACUAAAUUAAAGCCGUUGACGGAGUUAAUACUUUUGAACACUUUCAAUCGUUCCAUCUAGUCAAUAUCCGAAAAAGCAACAAGUUAACUAUAGUUUCCGACGAGUUUCGAGUAUAUAGUAACUCUAUUAUGGUAUUCAAUAUGUUUAUAUGUGUAUCUAAGAUCUUUUUGUGAAUGCAAACAAAGUCUCAUAUUAGAAGUUUAGACAAAUAAUGUUUAGUAUAUAAAACGAUGUCCACCAACUCUGAUUAGUACGAGAUUUUUGGGAAAGAGCCCAAUAACAAAGCCAUGCGGUCUUACUUCUUAAGUCCAAAGUGGACAAUAUCGUACUAAUCGGCUGAUAUGGGCUCGAGAAAACCCAACAGAUCUGAAUUUUGCAACAUGAUAAUUUGUUAGAUUUGUUUCCUUUGGUUAGGAUUAGGUAUGAUCAUUUAUAUGUGGUUCUGAUUCUUUAAAGAUAUGUAACAGAGGCCGAUGAAACAAUUAUUUUGAUUCCGUGGCGACGGAUUUUGCUUCUGCAACAAAUUCUUGAUUUUGCGUUGGUGUAUAAUGAUUCUUCUUUCUCGAUCUAACAAUAACUUAUUUAUUAUCAUGAUAUUAUAAUUUUCUAUGCGGUUUAGAAAACAAUAGCCAUUGGUUUUAGAAGGCUUAGGCCCUAGGCGCCGCCGCCUAGAUCGGUUUUUAGAACACUGGUUUAGAUCAUAUUUCUAGGCUCUUUGUUUUUUUUUUCAGUUUUUCCUUAUGCAUAGAUAUGGAAGAAGGCUUUGAUGCAUUUUCUUCUCUAUUAAACCCUUUGCUUGGUUCUGAUGGGUGUUUGGUGUUUGUUAGCUCUUUUUUGGUCUUUAUCUGAUGGAUACCAAGGGGUAACUAUGCUUAUGUAUGAGUAGUUACCAGUUGUGUGCUGCUUACAGUCAGAUAAAUACACACACAUGUUGCAAAUAUAUCUGUUUCUGAAACCUUUUUUAUGGGCUAAUCGAUGUUUUUUUUGUCCAUGCAGAGCCUUAGCAAUAAGAAGCAAACAAAAAUAUGGUCGAGACGCGAGCUCAGCAUCGAAGGCGAGUGACAUCACAGACAUGGGGUAAGGUAGAAGGUGCCGAAGAUGUGUUUCAUGACAUCUUUUCUCGACUGUCAGUAAGGUCUAUCCGUUCAUUCAAAACGGUUAACAGAUACUGGCAUGCCUCAAUUAGCAACAAACAUUUUGCUACAAAACAGCUAGCUCAGUCGAGAAAGAAGCCCUCAUACAUAGCUUGUCCUAGAGCAUACAAGGCUAUGAAGUUGUACUUGUUGAAGCCAGGGAAGUUCAACUAUCGACACCAUGCUACAGUUGAUCCUCCGGGAAGAAGCGCCGAUCACAACAUGCACAUGAUAGCAUCGUUCAAUGGAUUAGUAUGCUGCAUCAACCAACUCUCUGAUGAAAAUGAAGAUCAUCAGAUAUGGAUUUGCAAUCCCUCUACUGAAGAGACUCUGCUUCUUCCUCAAGGCAGACCAUCUGUUUGGACUGAACCAAGUAUUGGAGUUGCAUAUGGUCCUGACAUUAGCGAGUACAAAAUUUUCCGCAUAUUCUGUGUGGGCAAGAGAAACGCUGGAAAAGGGGAUUAUCUCUACGAAUGUGAGGUUUCAACAAUCUUUAUCGUCUUUAACAGUUCAGGGGCAAUGUAUCCUACCGUAUUUCUAGCGUCUAGCAUUGACAUGACGCUCUCUUUAUUUUUUGCAGAGCUUAGCAAGACCGAAAUUAGAAAAUCUUGGGACAAAGAUCCUUGUAUGUAACGAUUUAAAUGUUUCAUUCUUGGUUUCUGAUACAAUGUGAUAUGUUUUUUCUUGAGGCAGGCAAUGGAGGGGUGAGGCUAGAAGAAAGGUGAAGAAGAGUACUUAUCAUCUCUGGCUUGUUGGUGGUGCUUUGAUUUAUCUUGCAGAGGCUGUGUGUUUCUCACUGGAUAGAUACUCUUUUUAUUUUUCCGUUCUAAAACUUUUCAUUUCGUUUAAGGUUUCUGGUGAGAAGCUGACUAUUAGUGUUGUUGUGGCACUCUGUUUCCAUUUGUUUCUUACUUAAGAUUCUGAAAUGUGCUUUAUUAUUACUCAGAAUAACAUCCAGUAUUAUCAACCUGUUACGGUUUUCUAAAUUCAUUUUUUUUUUGCUAAGUUGACUGAUUACAAUCACUUGCAAAACCAUAUCUAUUUGACUGACUUCCUGGAGCUUUCGUUCAUAUGUUUUCAUGAUGGUUCACUUAAAUGUAUAUCGAUUCAACGGUUGUUCAUAUUCAACGACACAUCUUCUCAUGCCGAUUUACUUGACAAAUCUUUUCCUGUCAAAAUUGAAUGUGUAAUGACGGAAAUGGUUUGGACCUUUCCUCAAACCUUGCGGAUUCUAAUUUGGACCUUUCAUUUAGAUGAUAUCAUGAUGGUUCGUUUGGACCUUUCAACAAUCUUUAUCGUCUUUAACAGUUCAGGGGCAAUGUAUCCUACCGUAUUUCUAGCGUCUAGCAUUGACAUGACGCUCUCUUUAUUUUUUGCAGAGCUUAGCAAGACCGAAAUUAGAAAAUCUUGGGACAAAGAUCCUUGUCCAUGAGUAUGUUUUGCGGCUUUAUAUCGAUAUGGGAAAGAAUACACACAUCUUAUAUUUUAGGUUAAUAUAAUGUUCUCUAGUGGACAUUAAACAAAUUAUGACAUAAAAACUUUAUUUUUCCCCUCGAACACAUUCUUGAAAAAGUGAACAGUAUUGUUUUCAUAUUUGAAUUAUUUUAACUUUUAUCGUACAUAUGGUUUUGAAAACUUUCAAAUCAACCAGCAAACUGAUACAUGUCAUUUCAAUGUUUUUAGUGGUAUACUUAAGAAAAACUUACUUUUUUGUAAUUUAAAGUCGUUUUAAAAAAUUCCCCUGACGCAGCUAUACGUGUUUUUGAUCAUUCUACAUUCUCCGCCUGGAUUGUGACAGCGGAUGCAGCCUGGAGGCAGGUGUAUAUGAAGAGAGAAAGUAGCAUUAAGAAUAGACUGGUUCUUGUUUCUUAGAAUCACCUAGCUCUCUGGUGUCUUGAUAGCUGAACACCCAGAAAUAUCUCCCAGAUUAGAGUAAUACAAGUGCUUCUUCUUCCUUUGCAAUUCGGAUAAGUGAAACCAUUCUUCCUCCUACUGUUGUUGGACUUGUACAAAGUAGUCAAGUCGAGCCAUGGAGAAUCUGGAAGAUAAAAGCUUAUCGAGUCACUGCAUGAUCCUGUUUCCAAGCUUUGCUUGAGCCUAGGGUCGGUGACAGUUAUGGUGUUGGCUUGAGAGACGCUCUUGAGUCUAUACCAUUGUGACAUUGUCCGUUUUCCUCAAACUGUAUUUUUUGGAAUCUCUUGAGCACUGCAAUUCAUCAAGAACAGACCGCAUCGAGACUGCAUGUCUGUGUUAAAGAAAGGGAACCUGAAGUCGAGGCUUCCACAGGAGAACGUUCUGACACAGUGUGUCAAGUUCUUGCUCCUGGCUUUUGGCAUGAGAAAGAAGAGGAAGAAGAAGACCAACACAGAGACAGUCUUCAUUGGUGUUGUGAUUACAGACUUGUGUUUCUUGAUAUUUCUAUCUACAACUAGGAUAAGACCUGCGCAAGAGUUUAUUUGUAUAUAUUAUCGAUAGUUUCUUUUAUACAUUUGAUCAUUUUAUUUAUAUAUAUAAAAUAUUUGUUGUUGUUAUUAUAUAAUUUCUUUCCAAUGAAUCGGAUCAAUUUUUAUUAAAAAUAAUGGAACAAAAGUAUAAUUAAUACAUCAUGGGUUGAUCGGAUUGGACAUUAAACAAAUUAUGACUUAAAAACCUUAUUUUUUCCAUCGAACACAUUCUUGAAAAAAGUGAACAGUAUUGUUUUCACAGUUGAAUUAUUUUGACUUUUAUCUUCCAUAUGGUUUUGAAAGCUUUCAAAUCAACCAUCGAAUUGAUACAUGUCAUUUUAAUGUUUUUAGUCGUAUACUUAAGGAAAACUUACAUUUUUGUAAUUUAAAGUCGUUUUAAAAAAUUCAAAAUAUAACAUAUAAGAAAAAAUCUAACAUAUAAGAAAAAUAUAACAUAUAAGGUGUCCUCAUUUUUGUAUUUUAAAUUUGUUUAAAAAAAAUAUCAUAUAUAAGGUUUCCUCAUUUUUAUAAUUUAAAGUCAUUUUAAGAAAUUCAAAAUAUAACAUAUAAGAAAAAAUCUAAUUUUUUUAUUAUAUGGUUAAUGUGAUUGUUUAUUUUUUUUAAUAAUAUAAAAUUAAACAAAAUGAAGAAGGAUGCAAAAAUUGUUAUCAAAUCUUUAUUAUUCAUAAUCAUUAAUUGCCAUAUAUAUGUAAAUAAUAUUAGGUAAUUUAGUAGCAUUUAUUCAGGGAAAGAAUACACACAUCUUAUAUUUUAGGUUAAUAUAAUGUUCUCUAGUGGACAUUAAACAAAUUAUGACAUAAAAACCUUAUUUUUCCCCUCGAACACAUUCUUGAAAAAGUGAACAGUAUUGUUUUCAUAUUUGAAUUAUUUUGACUUUUAUCUUACAUAUGGUUUUGAAAACUUUCAAAUCAACCAGCAAACUGAUACAUGUCAUUUCAAUGUUUUUAGUGGUAUACUUAAGAAAAACUUACUUUUUUGUAAUUUAAAGUCGUUUUAAAAAAUUCAAAAUAUAACAUAUAAGAAAAAUAUAACAUAUAAGAAAAAUAUAACAUAUAAGGUGUCCUCAUUUUUGUAUUUUAAAGUCGUUUUAAAGAAAUAUAUAACAUAUAAGGUUUCUUCAUUUUUGUAAUUUAAAAUCAUUUAAAAAAAUUCAAAAUAUAACAUAUAAGAAAACAUCUAAUUUUUUAAUUAUAUGGUUAAUGUGAUUGUUUAUUUUUUUAAAAAAUAUAAAAUUAAACAAAAAUGAAGAAGGAUGCAAAAAUUGUUAUCAAAUCUUUAUUAUUCAAAAUCAUCAAUUGUCAUAUAUAUGUAAAUCAUAUUAGGUAAUUCGGUAACUUUUAUUUAAGGAAAGAAUACACACUUCUUAUAUUUUAGGUUAAUAUAAUAUUCUCUACUGAACAUUAAACAAAUUAUGACAUAAAAACCUUAUUUUUUUCAUCGAACACAUUUUUGAAAAAAGUUAACAGUAUUGUUUCCACAGUUAAAUUAUUUUGAAUUUUAUCUUGCAUAUGGUUUUGAAAGCUUUCAAAUCAACCAUCGAAUUGAUACAUGUUAUUUUAAUGUUUUUAGUCGUUUAUUUAAGGUAAACUUACAUUUUUGUAAUUUAAAGUCUUUUUAAAAAAAUUCAAAAUAUAACAUAUAAGAAAAUUCUAACAUAUAAGAAAAAUAUAACAUAUAAGGUGUCCUCAUUUUUGUAUUUUAAAGUCAUUUAAAAAAUAUAUAUAUAACAUAUAAGGUUUCCUCAUUUUUGUAAUUUAAAAUCAUUUAAAAAAAUUAAAAAUAUAACAUGUAAGAAAAAAAUCUAAUUUUUUUAUUAUAUGGUUAAUGUGAUUGUUUAAUUUUUUUUAAUAAUAUAACUUUAAACAAAAAUGAAGAAUGAUGCAAAAAGUGUUAUCAAAUCUUCAUUAUUCAUAAUAAUUAAUUGCCAUAUAUAUGUAAAUCAUAUUAGGUAAUUCCGUAGCUUUUAUUUAAGGAAAGAAUACACACUUCCUAUAUUUUAGUUAAUAUAAUGUUCUCUAGUGUUAUAUAAUUAUAAAAUAAUGUGACACCAUUAGAUUAAACUAUACUUUAUAUUAGAUGCUCUAGAAUUCUUUGAAAUAGAAUUUAGAAGGCAUUUAGAGUGCCACCUAAAUUGGAGUUUUUUUUAAUUAAUACAAAAUUAAGGUUCUAAUUUUUUAAAUGCUUCUCAAUUAAUAUAUAGGGGAUAUAUCAAGACUUUUAUUAUGCCUAACACAUUCUAGUGGCUUACGUUAGCAAGCCAUGUACAUACUUGGGGUAUAGUUGAAACUUAUGUUAGCCAUCAGACUUGUAUAUUAGUUUUUUUUUUUGUUUGUCAACUAUGCUUUUCAUAAAAGCUUUAAGGGCUUUUAAGCCCAAUCACAAUCAGUUCAACCAUCCAAAUAAGAGUUCAACUCAGACACUGCCCCACUAAAAGAUAAGAUCUACACGUGUUUAUCAAGAAAAUAAAUUAAAAAUAUGCUUGACACGUGUUUGUCGAAGGUGCAGGACGAUUCUGGAAACAGAGGAAGCAUCGACGGUGUCGCCGGAAUCUUUGCCGGAUCGAAAACCGUGAACUUUAAUCUCUGAUUAGUUGAACUGGUUGACCGCUCCGCCUUUCCAGAUCGCCGCUGAUCUUCUUCAGGUUCCUCAUCGUUGCGCAAGUGUUAAGUCCAGUGAAAGCUUCUAGGAGAUAAACACAAGAGUCUUGCCAGAAUAUUUCAUGAGGAGAAACUCCGGCUUAUCUGAAUCUGCAUCUUCUCUCCUUCGCAAAAUCAAACAUCUCAAUCUUUGGAUACUCCGCUAUGUUUCAUUUAUGCGAAGAUUGAUUCCUUGCUGUAUAAUUGAUCAAGCAUAACUCACAAAAAACCCUCCAAAGACAAACGGAAUAAUCAAUAGGACAGGAAAGGAAAAACGGAUUUAAAACAAAAAAAUUAACAUAACAAAAGGUCCCCUAGGGAAAUUCAGAUCCGCUAACGGAAAACAAGAGUCGCCAAGCGAAGAUAGAUGUAAUAUGAUACACAAACAUAUGUUACAGAGGCAAAAAAACAAAAUGGGUGGUGACCGGCGGCGAGGUGCUCACCGGCCACCGGAGGACAGCUUUGUUUAAUGUGUUUCUAGAGAGAAGUUGGAGAAAAUAACAAGAGAGAGAAGUGUAGGAGGGUGGUUUUAAAAUAUUUUACUCAUUAUUCAAAUUCUCAUUAGGGAAUUUGC
rnacentral:lncRNA from 1 species